rnacentral:lncRNA from 1 species
CGCCACUACCUCAUGUUCUAGAAUUAUAACAAAAUGAUUUAAGGCAGUUUUGAUUGAUAUGAGACCAUGUAUAGGUUCGUCGAGGCAAGGGGUAACCAUCGAUGGUGGUGCGCGAUCGUAGGUGGUGUCGAAAGUGGGAUUACCGUGAAGGGUUGUAUACAACAGUUUAGUAUUUUAGUUGUAAAUGUGGUUGUUUCGGACAGAAUGGUGACCAAUACUGUGGAGGAGGAUGUUGGGGAGAGUGAGGUGAGGCUGCUGGUGGUGGAGUCUGACGGGUGUUAUGGUCGGUAGGUGGUACUAUGUGGUUCUAUAGGUGGCGGCUUGAUGGGGUUGUGAAAGUGGUGGUAGUGGAGAAUUUAGGACUUAUCAAUAAUGUUUUGAAAAAUUUAGGAUUAUGAUUGCAAUUAAUUAUUUAUUUUCUUUUUGUUUUAUUUGAAUAUGAGGUAAAAUCAUCAUUUUAUUGCAAAAAAAAAUGGAUAAAAAGGACUUCUUACGCAAUGAAAAGUGAAAAUGCUAAAAAUUGAAACUCUUAAAUAAUUUAUUAAGUCCCUGUUUGAUAGUCAAUAUUUAGGAAAAAAUAAUGUUUUGAAUUGAUUUUUAGGAGAAUUCGUGGUUAAAAAUAUGGAAAAUUUUUGAAUUUAUAUACAAAAUAUUUUAUUGGAUGAAUAUGUGGUUGAAAAUGAGUAUAUCUAAAAAAGAAGCGCCAAAUAAUGAUUGUUGCUAAGAGGACAAAAAUUAGAAAAGUGGUAGAGGAAAAGUAAAAGGGAAACACUUCACUUUCUUUUAUUCACCAUUUUUGUCUGGCUUCAUGUUAUUGGUAAGGGUAACCAACAUAUCCAUCUGCCUGACAACCAUUUUGGUGACAAUAUUUAGGGGUACCCAUUACGUAUGUAUUAGACACGGAAAAAAAAAAAAAAAAAGGAAAAAGAAAAAGAAAAAGAAAACUCUUGAUAACUUGGUCUGCACAAUUUAAGAGUACCUUGUGACUGCAUGCUAAUGAUCUGAAAUUGAUUAAUUUAUAUGGGUUAAGUCUGGCUAAGCUUAAGAAAAUAAAAGUUAUUGUUAGUUGGAUUUUGUUUGUAAAUAUGUUUUGAAUCUGUUGAGAUUCUAUAUUCAGAUUUAUCACAUAAAUAUAGAAUUUUCCUCAAUCCAGAAAAUUCAGUAAUGUUAAGUUUGUCCAUCCUUAACUGGUCGAGAAGAUGUGCAACUAAAGUCAUGUCAUGAUCUUUAGUACUGCAAUAUUAACGCGUGAAAAGCCAUCAAUUUGGCCCUUUGGAAGGAUAUGUUUGCUGUUACAUCUCUACCUAAAUGACAGGCUAUGUGCCUGUUACGCAAGCAUCGACACCCUGAAGCAAUGAAGCCAACUACCAUUGCCUCAUAACAAAGCGUCUUGUCGACAAAAAGAUUUGAGUCGAUAGAACUCCACGAACUUGUUUCUUCUCCUAUCUGAUGCCAUCAGCAGAGAAUCAACCCUUUAACCACAUUGGAUAGGCCUGGAGUCCAAGACAGUCAAUGUCCAAUGCCUAAUACUUUAUGCCAACUAUAGUCAAACACUUUGAGUCACAUGCGAUGUGAUUGAUGUAAUAUUUUUACAAAAGUCGGAGAGCAUCAAAGCUCUCAUUUUACCAUGUUUAGGGGUCACAGACCCAUGUUACCAAUGAUACGAUGUGGUAACAUGAUUGAGUUUGACCAGUGAACCGUUGGGAUGAUACUGAGUGUUAAACAUACGGAGAGCUUCAAUUCAUCCCCUUUGCCUAUGAAUACUUAAACAUGGUGAUAUUGUGAAAUUAGUAAUCUCACUCUACAAAUAAGAAAUCCAGAUCUCAUUUUUCUUCUCCAUUUGUGUCACUCUUAAACUUAGUAUAUUUUAUCGUCGUUUUAUUGACUUAAGCCUUCCCGUCUUUGCUUGAGUGUGCUUCGAUUUUGUGCACUUAACACGUGCAUUCCAAGUCAGGGCAGUCACAUUCCCUUAAUACUGGUGAAGAAUUAAGGAAACUAAAACAUAGAUUUGAGGAGUGGAUAAAAGACUAUAAAGUUCGGUUAGGGGCAGCAAAGGAAUAAGUUCAUAGGCUAGGGCACUCUGAAGCUUAAAAACAUCGAAGAACAUGGUAGGGAAAGAAGAGCGCAAGUUACUAGCACCGAAUUAUUUCUCCAUGGGGUUUCAGCAAAAUUGCUGAUUAUUUUUGAGAUUCCAAUUAGUUUUAGCCUAUUCGUGUAUAGUGCAUUGUUGAGAAUUUAGUUUCAGAACUCUCAUCUGUAUUAGUCAGUGCUGAAAAACAGGUAAGAGGUGUUCAAUUUCUCUGACAAAUGAAACAGCAAGCAGCUUUAAUUUGCUGUUUAUCAGUCUUCUUGAAAACGUUUAAUCCUCUUUGUAGCUUAUGCUAGUAACUACAUUAUUUAAAUAAACUCGACCACAGUAAAUGCCCGAAUACUAUCCAAUCAGUUGAUCUUCUUGCUGCUUCUAAGUUUUCUUUUGCCUGUUGGUCGUAUUGGUUGACUUGUUAUUACAUCAUCGUGAGGUGGGCUACAUAUUCUUCAUCAAAAUUGAGCAUAAAAAGGUUGAGCCUGCACAAUGUAAUAUGUCGCGGCUUUAGCAAAUUGAAGAUGUUUGUUAUGGAUUUCUUAGCUAAAUCAUUAACAGGUUGAAUUACUGAAAAUAAUGUACUUUUACAACCAUCCUUUUGUUCAUUGACUUGAGAAAUCAAUAGUUUAUAGAGGUAUUAUAACUACAUAAUUCAGGCAUUCACAGCACAUUACAUUGAGCGAAUGAAUCUCAAUUUAUGAUCCUGACACAAACUUGGUGGCAUAGACCCAUGCAAUGUUAGCCACAAGUUUGUUGAGGUGGUCCAAUAGGUUCUCGAGAGGGUAUUUUCCAGUGACGAUAGCUUGUACGAAGAAUCCAAACAUGGAGAACACAGCCAAUCUUACAUUCUUGAUUUCCUUCACUUUGAGCUCACAAAGGUGACUGGGUCAUCAGCUAGACCAAGAUGAUCCAAGUAUUGACCACCGGGGUAGAGGUUGUUGCCUUCUCAAACUCUCCAGGAAGACCAUUGAUUCUAAAUCCUUCAACAAGUCCCAUUUGAACAACUUGGAAGCCAAGCACUGCCAGAAUGCUUUGAGCGUGAACAAGAUUAGGGUUGCCCAAAUAGUUGAGUCCACCUUCAGAAAAAAUUGGAGCUCCAGCCUUGAACCAAACUGGCUCUUUGAAGUCUCCUUUGACCCAUUUUUCAAAAACUUCAGGGGUGAUGCUGUUGGAUAAAUUUAAUACUUUAAGUUACCGGAUCUUUCAUGUUAAAUCAUCAAGAAAUAUAAGAAUUAAAGCGGAAGUAUACCUGAAUCAAACAUGGUUAAUGCAAUAUGAAUUUAGCGGUAUGAUCUUCCAAAUCUACACGCAGUCUCCUUUUCCUCUCUGUGAUGGGAUGCAGUAGAGAAUGAAUAAUUCGUUUCGUUGCGUGUGAUCUGGGGACCAUAACCUAUUUAUAUAGGGAUGCCCUUUGACCUAAUUCGACCCAUCAUAGAAUUAGGACUUGAGCCCGGUUUCUACACAUAUGUAAAUCCAUACUUUAAUUGGAUACAUUAAGGCUCAAAAUCGAAACCUUAUUAGAUCACUUAAAUCGGGCUCAACCGAAUUCGAUAGCCUAUAAUUUAACACACAAUUAUUCACACAUACAAACCCAUCUUUAAUUAAAAAUCCUUACAAUCUCUCACUUGAGCUAUAUGUGUCACUUUAUAAUUGUGCAUUAAACAUAACCUUAUGAGUACUCAGAAUUUCGCUAUCAUUACCGAAUGUAUCCCCAAACAAUCCCGUCCAUCAAUUAUAUCAACAUAGGAUCAAAGCAGCUUUCGCUACUUUCACGUAGCUAAACCCAUCAAUGGUCACGUAUAUCAAUAUAACCGAAUGACAUGGAUUAAGCAUGGAAAUUACAUGUAAUGUGAUCUGUAACAUGCCUAUUUCCAACUGGUCCACCUUAAUACCUUAAUGAGAUCAUUUUAAAUAAGUUCAGAGAUAAUUAACCAAAUAACUUUAUAAUUGAAAAUAACUUUAACUUUAAACCGUAUCCAAAAUAACAGUACAUGUGUCCAAUAUGAAAAGCAAAAAUGCAAACUUUCACUGAAACUAGAUAUCCUCAAGAGACAUUACACCCAUAUGAGCAGUGUGCUCAUGAAAGACCUUGGGUAGCAAUCCCUUAGUAAGCGGAUCCGCAACUAUGGAGUUUGUCCCAAUAUGCUCUAUUGACACCUAUCCACUCUGAACUCUUUCCUUAACAGCAAGGAACUUGAUCUCUAUGUGUUUUGACUUUGUCGAGCUCCUGUUGUUAUUGGAAUACAACACUGCUGAUUUAUUGUCACAAAAUAUCUUAAGUGGUCUUUCUAUAUUGUCCACAAUGCGCAGCCCAGUGACAAAAUUGCGCAGCCAUAUUCCAUGAUUUGAUGCCUCAUAACACGCUAUAAACUCCGCUGCCAUAGUGGAAGUAGCUAUAAGUGUCUGCUUAGCACUCUUCCAUGAAAUAGCACCUCCAGCAAGCAAGUAAAUAUAGCCUGAAGUGGAUCUCCUACUAUCUUGGCAUCCCGCGAAAUCGGAAUCAGAAUAACCGAUGAUCUCCAACUGAUCCGAUCUCCUGUAUGUGAGCAUGUAGUCUUUUGUUCUCUGUAAAUACUGCAUGACCCGUUUGGCUGCUUUCCAACGAUCCAUUCCCGGGUUACUUAAAUAUCUCCCUAGCAUCCCAACGAUGUACGCUAUAUCCGGACGCGUACAAACCUGAGCAUACAUCAGACUCCCUAUAGCUGAGGAAUAAGGAAUCUUCUGCAUUUCUUUAAUUUCCAAGUCAUUUUUAGGGCACUGACUUACUGAACUUGUCACCUUUAGCCACAGGGGUGUCACGUGGUUUACAAUCUUGCAUGCCAUAUCUUUUAAGUACCUUUUCGAUAUAGCUCUUUUGUGAUAAUCCAAGAAUACCUCGAGAACGAUCUCGGUGUAUCUGAAUUCCUAAUACAAAAGAGCCAUCAUCAAGAUCUUUCAUCUCAAAAUUCUUUGCUAGAAAUCUCUUGGUUUCGUGCAAUAAGCCUAUAUCGUUGCUGGCAAGCAAUAUGUCAUCGACAUAUAAAACCAGAAAAAUAUACUUGCUCCCACUGAACUUGUGGAUAUACAAUCAUCAACCAAAUUCAUCUCAAAAUCAAAUGAGAUGAUCACCUGAUGAAACUUGUAAUACCAUUGACGAGAUGCCUGUUUGAGUCCAUAGAUGGAUUUCUUUAAUUUACAAACCAUUUGCUUUGCAUCGUCCGAUACAAAGUUUUCUGGUUAUACUAUGUAAAUUGUUUCUCAAUGUCACCAUUGAAAAAUGCUGUUUUAACAUCCAUCUGAUGUAGCUCAAGAUCGAAAUGCGCUACCAAUACCAUUAUAGUCUUGAAAGAGUCUUUCGAAGAAACCGGAGAGAAAGUCUUUUUAUAAUCGAUGCCUUCUUUCUGUGUAAAGCCUUUUGCGACAAGACGAGCCUUAUACCUCUCUACAUCACCUUUCGAAUCCUUCUUGGUCUUAAAUAUCCAUUUGCAACCAAUGGGUUUCGCACCUUCAGGCAAUGGAACGAGGUCCCAUACGUCAUUGUCCUUCAUGGACUUUAUCUCUUCAUUCAUAUUGAGAGUUAGAACUUUCCAUGGCUUGACGGAAGUUGAUCGGAUCAUCUUCUACCAUUCCAAUAUCAACUUCAUGUUCUUGAAGAAAUACGAUGUAAUCAUUCGAAACCGCACUUCUCCUCUCUCUAGUGGAUCUUCUUAAUGGCAUUGGUUCUUGAGGGUGUAGAGUUUAUUCUUCUGGAACAAUUUGUUGAUCUUGAGAGGGAGGUAUGACAUUGUCUUGAUCCAGAGUUGCUUGUUGAACAAUAUCAGGGAUAGAAACCUGAUCAUUGUCAAUGACAAUUGGAGGAAUUUCAACAGAUUCCUCCUCAAAGACAAAGCCUGUAACCCUUUCUCCCCCCGCAAACUCAACAUCCUCAAAGAACCUAGCAUUUUCUGUCUCGAAAAUUGCCUUAGUUGUGAGAUCAUAAAACUUGAAACCCCUGAACCUUUCAGAAUAUCCAAUGAAAUAGCAAUUGAUGGUCCUUGCGUCCAGUUUCUUUUCAUUUGGCUUAUAGGGCCUUGCCUCAGCUGGACACUCCCAAAUAUGUAUAUGCUUCAAACUAGGCUUCUUGCCCGUCCAAAGCUCAUAUGGGAUUUUAUCAGUAGUCUUAGUUGGAACUCUGUUGAGUAUAUAAGCUGCAGUCUUUAAUGCUUCACCUCAGAGAGAUUCUGGUAAGGUAGAAUGACUAAUCAUACUCCUCACCAUGCCCUUAAGCGUUCUGUUUCGUCUUUCAGCAACACCAUUCAUAGUGGACGAACCCGGCAUAGUGUACUGUGGGACGAUACCGCAUUCCUCUAGGAAUUUAGCAAACGGUCCUGGACGCUGUUCACCUGAACCGUCAUAUCUGCCAUAGUAUUCACCCCCACGGUCAGAUUUGACGCUUUUAAUCCUUUUGCCGAGUUGGUUCUCAACUUCAGCUUUAUAGUUUUUGAACAUAUCCAGUGACUGUGAUUUUUCAUGAAUGAGAUAUAUGUAGCCAUAUCAUGAAAAGUCGUCUAUGAACGUUGUAAAAUAUUGUUGACCAUUCCAAAAAUCCGUAGGGAAUGGUCCACAAAUAUCCGUAUGUAUAAGUUCUAAGACGUCCGAAAUUCUAUUGGCUUGAAAUCUCCUUUUAUUAGUUUGUUUUCCCUUUAUACAAUUGACACACAAAUCAUAAUCUGUGAAGUCAAGAGGGUCGAGAAUUCCGUCAGACACAAGUCUCUCUAUUCUCCUUUUGGAGAUGUGACCUAAUCUCUUGUGCCACAACGAGGCAGAAUUCUCGUCGUUUAAUUUUCACUUUACACCUCGAGUACUUACAUGCAAGGUUUCAUUAUAAGAAGCAAUUGUAUCAAUUGAAUAAAGAUUAUCAUAACCUGAUAAAGAACCGGAACCAACCAAUUUUGAAUCAUGAAACAAACUAAAUUUUCCAUUUCCAAAAGAACAAGUAUAACCGAAUUUGUCCAAAACAGAAAUAGAAAUCAAAUUUCGUCUAAAAGACGGUACAAUAAAUGUCUCAACAAGAUCCAAAUAAAAUCCAGUCUUUAACAAUAAUCUAAAUUUUCCUAUUGCCUCUACUUCCAUUCUAUUGCCGUCGCAACAUAGAUGUAUCUUUUACCAUCACUUGGUUUUCGGCAACUCAGGCAAUCCUGCAUAGACAUACUGAUGUGAGUUGUUGCACCAGAAUCUAUCCACCAUGUAUGUCUAGGUACCGAAGUUAAAUUAACCUCAGAACAAACCAAAUGAAGAAGAGUACCUUUCUUUACACGCUAUGCGUGGUAAUUGGUGCAAUUCUUCUUCUUAUGACCUGCAGCUCCACAGAAGAAACAACCGCCUUCAGUUGGUUCCUUAUGCUGUUUCUUUUGCGGUGCCGUACCUGCAGCUUCCUUAUUAAUCUUCCUUUUCUUGUUGCUUUUGUCCUUAGAGGUGGUGGCUAAAUGAGCACUUUCUGUCUUUUCAUGCUUCAGUCUUUCCUCUUUCUGGACACAGUGUGAGAUGAGCUCAUUAAGGGACCAUGAGUCCUUUUGACAGUUGUAGCUCACCUUGAAUUGACUGAAAUGUGCCGGAAGGGAUAUCAGAACCAAGUGCACUAACAAGUUUUCAGAUAAAUCCAACUUGAGUGCCUUUAGUUUUGAAGCAAUGUGAGACAUUUCCAUAAUGUACUCCCGAAUGUUUCCUUUCCCUUUAUACCUCAUUGAGACAAGAUUUGCCAAAAGUGUACUUGUUUCAGCCUUUUCAUUCUUGGCAAACCUCUUCUCAAGGUCCUCAAGGAAACCCUUAGCAGUAGUCACCUUAUCGGUCAUAGUGUCCCGGAAUGCUUCUGGAAUAGCACGCUUCAUGACCAUUAAGCUUAUGCGGUUCGAUCGUUCCCACUUUUCCAUCUCUCUCUUGUCAUUAGAGGUACUCUUAUCAGUAAGUGCAGCAGGUUGAUUGACCCGUAAAGCAAGGUCUAGGUCCAUGACUCCGAGAACAAUCAUAACGUUCUCUUGCCAUGCCCUGAAGUUUGUGCCAUUUAACGUUGUAAUUGAAUUGAUGCUAGCAGAGAUAUUAGCAGCAGAACCUGAAACUGAAUUAGAGAACAUUUAUUAUGAAUAGCUCACAUGAAUAUCUUUAAUAUGCAAAUAAUAAUAAUAAUAAUCUCAAAUAGUGGUAGGGCCCAUCACAAGAUACCAAGCACAACAUCAAUAUCCAGUUUUUGGACAGAGAUAUUGACUUGUAAGCGGUACUCUUGGCGUAGUGAUCAAACAUUGACAAUAAAACAACGUGUCAAUCAAUAAACCUUUCUUUACACCGAUUUAUUGAUCACACAUUAAACCAAAUAAUCGUCACACGUUUAUCACCACAGGUGCACGUGUAUUCGGCUAAAUAUUGACCUUCCUUUGGGCCGACCAAUAUUCCCAUAAAUAACAUGUGCACAAACACUUUUUAACAUUCUAAGUUAGUCAAUUUUCACAAGAGAGGUUGCUUUAACAACAUGUUGCUUCAUUUAACUAACUUUCGAAUAUUAUAUCUCUUUAAAAGAGUCUUUAGUACCGAAAUUUGAGAAAGAGAAUCACCAAUUUUACAUAUUUUGAUUAGUUUUAAACUUUAGGGGCCUUAGGAUUAAUAAUUCAAAACUUUAAAGGGUCAAAAUUAAUUAAUUUCAAACUUUAGGGGUUGAAAUUAAUAAACUUGAAACUUUAGGGACCAAAAUUAAUUAAUUCAAUACUUUAGAGGAUCAAUUAAAACAAAUUUUAAAACUUUAGGGGCCAAAAUUGACCAAUUCAAAACUUUAGGGAUCAAAUUUUNNNNNNNNNNNNNNNNNNNNNNNNNNNNNNNNNNNNNNNNNNNNNNNNNNNNNNNNNNNNNNNNNNNNNNNNNNNNNNNNNNNNNNNNNNNNNNNNNNNNNNNNNNNNNNNNNNNNNNNNNNNNNNNNNNNNNNNNNNNNNNNNNNNNNNNNNNNNNNNNNNNNNNNNNNNNNNNNNNNNNNNNNNNNNNNNNNNNNNNNNNNNNNNNNNAGACGCCGGCGGCACGCCCGCCACCGGCCAGAUCCCCUUAAUUUUUUUUAACGUACAGAAAUCUUUUCUGAAUCUUUACUAAAAUCUGAAUUCCAAAUCUGAAUUUUCUAAACUGAAUCAAUCCGAACGAAAAUAACAAAAUUAUACCGCAAAAAUUUUCAAAUUUAACAAAGCAUAUAACCAAAAAUUGUUAAAUCUGAAAAUUUCAAAAUAUAUUGCAAGAAUCAAACUAAAGCCUUUGAUUCUCAAUGAUUCAACAUGAAGAGGCUCUGAUACCACUUGUUGGAUAAAUUUAAUGUUUUAAAUUACCGGAUCUUUCAUAUUAAAUCAUCGAGAAAUAUAAGAAUUAAAGCGGAAGCAUACCUGAAUCAGACAUGGUUAAUGCAAUAUGAAUUUAGCGGUAUGAUUUUCCAAAUCUACACGCAGUCUCGUUUUCCUUUCUGUGAUGGGAUGCAGUAGAGAAUGAAUAAUUCGUUUCGUUGUGUGUUAUCUGGGGACCAUAACCUAUUUAUAUAGGGAUGCCCUUUGACCUAAUUCGACCCAUCAUAGAAUUAGGAUUUGGGCCCGGUCUCUACACAUAUGUAAACCUAUACUGUAAUUGGAUACAGUAAAGUCCAAAAUCGAAACCUUAUUAGAUCACUUAAAUCGGGCUCAACCGAAUUCGAUAGCCUAUAAUUUAACACACAAUUAUUCACACAUACAAACCCAUCUUUAAUUAAAAAUCCUUACAGAUGCAUCCUAGAGCUCCAAGCAUAACCCAUCACCCAUGGAUAACCUGGUAAGUGAAAAAUAAAAAAAAAAUAAAAAAAUUCAACAACAAUAAUUGCCAAAGUACUGCUGUUACUCUUCGUAUGAAAAUUUGUACACCUCAAGUGCCUUGUUCCUAGCAGAGGACUCGGGAUCGGCGAUAAACCAGCAGUGUCCCAUCCAUAAUCACGUAAGAAUUCUCCCUUCAAGUAUGAUGGAGUCUAAACCGAGAAGGGUCCUAAGUAUUUGACACAGUCCAGUCUGUACCAUAAAUUGUUAUCCCGUCAAAUAUAAGAAAGUCAUUCUUUUUCCUUGUUUGGGUUGGUGUGAGUUGAGGAAUAACAUACAAUGGUGUAUUUCCCAUUUCCGGUAGAGACAAGAUCCCUAAAAGGGCUAGCAUUCUUGGUUUGGCCCAAGAAUGGAGGGCCAGAGCUGGCAGUGGCAACCAUUGGUGCCAUUUCUUCUUAAAGCUUAUUGCAGUUGAACUGUUGCUGGAACACAAUAUGGACUGGUGAGGGACACUGGCUUUAUGAUGACUGGUUAAGAUUGCAUAUAUUGAAAUUAUGGCUGUUGAUAAUUACAUGUACAUCGUCAAUCAAUCACAGGCAUCAAAAGAUUGCAUGCAUCUCCAACUCAUCCUUCUAUCCACAGUUUAUCUCUUCUGCUAUAUUAAUUAUUAAAAUUUUCUCUUAAACCCUCGUUUUUGUCUCAUUCUUUUGAAAAAAUGCAUUUUUCAACAGUAUUUUAACUUCAUUUCAACUACCAAUUUUUUAAUAAAAUAAUAUUACACACAAAUUCAAAACUUUUGUUUAUUUUUAAAUCACACAUUCUCCAUCAAUACACUAUUCAAAAAAACAUUCUUCCCCCAAAAUGGUAUUUGUUAACGUAAAUUAAUUACCCAUUUAUGAUGAUAAGUACAUUCUUGAAUUGCACUCUCAAAUGUGGUAUUGAUAUUCAGCAUUGUAUAUAGAAUUAGGGGUGAGAAGAAUCAAAGAAAAGUAGUAAAUGAAAUUAGAGUAGGUACGUAAAACGAGAAAAAUGCGGUGAGCGUGGAUCGAACACGCGACCUUCAGAUCUUCAGUCUGACGCUCUCCCAACUGAGCUAUCCCCGCGAGUCUGUAAUUUUAUUCACAUCAAGAUUCAACAACCCAAAACCCUAUCAGCUGAUAUCACAACGGAAGAUUCAAAUUUCUCCCCAACCCACAGUUAAGUUCUCAUUGAUUCUUGAUUUUCUUCGUGUGUUUACAAAAAGAAUAAACUCCGAAGCACAGAAGAAAUGGAAAAAUUAGAAAAGACGCUUCAACUUUCAAAUGCCAGUCAUGGAGCAUAUACCAAGAAUAGAUAUGAAAAUUUCCAAAGGAAAACUACCCAACCUGUCGACCAUUGGGCUUUUUUGGUAGUUUCACAAACUCAAUUUCUUGUUAUUAGUACGGGUGUCGAAGUUGCUGCUUAAUCUUGAUUAGUUUCUUGUUUAUCUUUAUUUUUUAAGGAGUCAGCGUUUUUGUAAGUUUUGAAUCUUGAUUUCUUUGUAAUAUGAUUUUCCAAUGUCGCUACUGUGUUGAUUUUAUUAAUAUGUGAAUAAUUUUAUAACUGGGGGUUUUUUCUGCGUUGAUGAUGGCAUUUCUGUCAUGGCAGAUUAUGAUGUUAUUUUGAUAUUCUUUUGAAUAUUCCGAUUCUUUAUCUUGUUUUGUUUUUGUGAUUUUUUUAGUAGUUUUCUUGUUCUUGGAAUUUAUGAUGAAUUCAACUAGUCCCCACUUUUAUUGUCUCUCAUUUUUCUUCUUAUAUUUGGGUUUAAUUUCUUUUCUUUGUUCCACUAAAGUUCCUUUUAUACUCUUUACUCUACUGAUUAACAUUUUUAGGAUGAAAUUGAAGCGCCCACAUGGGUUGAUCUUACUCUGGAAUGUGACUCAACUUACCAGGACAAGUAAAUUUCUGCAGAUUCUGCAAUUUUAUUAAAUCAUUGUCUUUGCUCGGGCAAUAGAUGAGGUGAUUAAUUAUGCAGCUCGAAUUCACUUUUAUUUUUUAUACGUUACAUUGCAGGGAUGAUGAGUGGUUUCACACAAGCCACCAGUAAGUAUUUUUGAAUAAUAAGCACUUGACAAAUAUUUAAUAUAUUUUACUUAGAAUGUUGAGCUCUGUUACUUGGUUUAAUGAUUUUCGUCCUGAUAAAAUCUAUGUAAUUUCAGGUUCCAUCAGUAUUCGUCCCGAGAGUUGAUUUCUAUAUUUUCUCAUUCUGGCGAGUGUUGUGCAAACUCAGACUUUGGCUUGCAGGGAACAUGUUCUCCAAAGCUUCCACCAUCAGUCUCAAGAUCAAGAGGCACUCAUUGCAAGAGCAUGGAAUUGGGACAGGGAAAGUGCAGAAUCACAUCAAAUAAGCUUCAUCUGGUUAAAAAUUUAAGCAGCAAAUCAUCAUCUAUGAAUUCAAGAUCUGAUAACGCUAUCAAAGGUAAACUGUCAGAUGAAAAACUAAAAGGGCACGUGAAUUCGAUGUCCGAUUUAGUUGGUGAAAGCAGUUUAACCGAAACUUCUGCACGAGCUGAUCAUGAACCAGUGACUGGUUUCUGUUAUCAAGAAACAUGUUCCAAGUCUUCAGCUUUUAGUCAAGGUGAAAACAAUUCAACGAGCACUAUUACAUCUGAAUCUACGGGACAGAAAUCUAUGGAGGUAUGCAGCCAAAUAUUUGGCAACUCUAGUGGGUUAUUAUCAUCUCUUGGACUGAGUCUUAGGAAAAGUUGUGUUACAAGACAAGCAUUAAGGGUGGAGGUUAAGAAUCAGAUGUCAGAAGGUCAAACAUCUUCUUCAAGUAAAUCCAGUGUUGGGUCCUCUUCAAAUCCUAGUUCUGAUAGGAAGAACCUAACAGUGAGACAGAACAAAGAAGAGAUGAAUAGUCAGAAUGUUACGAGAAUUUCUCAUGCUCCAACUUACAAAAUGAAUAGAUCAUAUAUCUCCAGGGCACAAUACGUUCAAGCUCGGGAUAUGAUUUGUAAGUCUAACCGGGGCAUCAAACUGGAAGCGACGAAAGCAAAGGUUUUGGUUCCUCGUAUAGUCAAUGAACGUGCUCCUCUAUCUAUGGCUAUAACAUCUAAAAAGACAGUACAAGCUGAUCAUUGCAAUAAAACUAAUGGUGGUGGUAAAGAGAAUGUGACUGGAAGUCUAGGUUUGGGUAUGAAAUCAAGCAGAAGAGAGAACAAAGCUGAUCGUGCCAUGUCAGACCAAAAGGUAAUGAAAACAAGACAGCAACAGAAAAGUAGUGGGAAAAACUUGGUUGGCCUGAAGGUACAUUUCUUUGCUCUUAGCUAAUUGGCCUCUAUUUUUGUUUUGAACUUUGAACGUACGAUUUGAUCUGCGUCCAUUUAGACAGUAACUCUUGCUUUUAGAUUAAGAACUAGAAUUUGGUUGAGUCAUUCCGUUAGACUAAGAAUUUCACAAUUCAUUUUUCUAAAAUCCAAAGUAAUUCCAAUAAUAACUGAAUCUUUAACAAGCUACUUAUUGUUAAAAUUCCUUGAGCAUCAAUGAGGGGUGGUGGAGCCAGUAUUUAUGAUUAUGGGGACUAAUCUUGCUAAGGGGAAAACUAAUUUUUUUGUUAGGGUAUGGACUGCUUAUGUACAAGAGAGAGCAUGUGCCAGUUUACAAAUAUAGAUACAGAUGUUUACGGUUUCAUCCCUAUUUACAAAUUUAGAGAAGAAUUAUUUGCAUGUCUUCAGCAGAAAGUUUGGUUAGCUUUUAAAGUGAAAAGUUACUCCAAAUAAUGGUUGCCUCGCCGGAUAGAAACGAGUAACAUUAGAAUUACAGAUAACUCUUUAAACUAAAAUACUAAUAAAGAAUAUUUUCCAGAUGGAGUUGAAAAGAAUAUUUCCCGUGCAACAUAAAUUUAACUAACAGGAAUCUAGAUCUAGCUUAGCAGUUGCUGAAAAUAUUAAAUGAAGAUGAAAAAGAAAAUGUCUUUGUUCAUUUUGCUUGCAGAAGUAAGAGAUCCAACAAAAGGAGCUAAAAUCAAUAUUAUCAGUUAUUAAUAAAUUUUAUUGAAGCUCUGCUGGAGGGGCAAUUAAGAGUAUGAUGGAAUUAGAUGAUGACAACCAAAAUGGUGCCAUUUACUUGAAGUAUUUGGAACGUUUUAUCCCUAUUGGAGACACCUCGAGCAGAUAGCAAGAUAUAGAGCAUGCUUGGCAAAAGAAAAAAAAUAUUGCUUUAGUAUGAGCUGGGGUCCCCGUCCUACAAAUUGUGUGGAGCAAAAUCCAUAAGCCUUAUAAGCUGGAUCCUGCGCUCAUAAGAAAGCAAAUUUCUUUACUAACCAUGCUUAUGGUGAUACUACAAAGAGGAUGAUGAACAGGAUACAUUGAUCAAGUUUAUAAAAUUAGAGACACAAAUAAAUAUAUGGACCAAUUGACUUGUCUGAAUUAAAGUUGAAGAAAUGCAAGGAAUCACAAUAAACUGAUUGGCACAGGAGAUGCGCGUCGUUUAUGUUUUGUGAAACCAUAUAAGAUUUGGUUCAAAGUUCGUGUUCAAUUUUUAUCUCUUUGUUGUUGGUUAGGCUACAUAUAAUUAUCUUUGUUGAUGAUCGAACUUGUCUCUCUGCAUUGAUUUUUGUGGUAGACAUGUAGAGUUCUCUCUUGGCUUGUAGUCAGGGGCGAAUCCAGAACUUCGAUUCAGCUAGGGCGGUUGUUAAUUGUUGGCCGUUGACUGUCGAUAGUCAAUGGCCGUAUAGCGAUAUUGUUUAUUAAUAUUAAAUUAAAUAAUAUUAAAAAAAUUUCGAUCUAUAUGUAAAUAUACUAAAACGUAAAAAUCGUAUAUUUAUAUCAUAUUAUAUUUCCAUACAAUCCGAAAUAAUAUAAAUUACAUGAUACAUAAGACUUCUUUGUAUUAUCAAUACUUAACAAGUCGUUUGCUUGACUAAAAAUAGUUGAGAACUUAGAUACACCACUACAAGAAUUAGAUUGAAAUUCAGUUGAAAAAAUCAUUCCAUAAUUAGUAUGAGAAUUGGACGUUAAUCAAAGAUUAAACGUAAUUAAAAUUAAUUUAAAAAUAUAAUUAAAGUUUCAAUUUCCAAUUCUCAACACCAAUUCAUCAUAAAUUAUAAAUUCUCCAAUUUUUCAUUUUCAAUUUUUAUGAAUCGCAUAUUCACAUUUCACGAUACUCAAAUUAAUUUUUAAUAUCACAAUUUACAGUAGACAAAUUUUCAAAUAACAUAUAAAUUAAAACUCAAUACUCAUAAGUCAUAUCUUAUAAAUUAUUGAAUCAUAAAAUAUUUAAAACAACGGGGAAAAAAAAACCUCUCCUAAAGUCUUAACAUAUAUUAUUUUGUUAAAUUUAGAUUCAAAAUUCAACAAUUGCCGUGAUGGUUAAGCUUCCAAUUAUCCUAAUUCUAGAAGUUAUAGGUUCGAAUUCUUUCCUUAGGGAAUUAAUUUUGGUAAAUAUUGUAGAAAUAAAAAUUUUGCACAAUGAAAUGGAGGGGUAGGAAUCGAACCCAAGACUCACAAUAUAAAAAAGAAAGCUCUAACCAACUAAGCACAAGAGAGGUUUAAAAACAAAAUGAACUACUAGUUAUAUAACCUAAAAUUUUUAUCUAUUAUUAUAGAAAAAAAGAAAAAAAAAAUCUCUUCGGCGAAUCCAGCUAAGGCGGCCACCUACUAAAUCCGCCACUGCUUGUAGUCAACAUAUCAUUAUCAUUCAAUUUAGCUACCUUCAAUGACCCAAGUCUCAAUUAUUUGUAGCCUUUGUUGUGACACGGUGUAUGUCAGUUCGUUUGUGUUUAGCAACAGGCAGUUGAUUCGAAUUGAACAUAAUUGUUCUUUAUCUAUUUAUAAACUAAACUGGUUAUAAUUGUGCUUUGUAUUCCUAUCUUUAUAGAAAGAUCUUAGUGGGGAUUCCAUAUAAGUUGUUCGAAUGGAGGAGUUUCAAAUUACCUAAGGUAGGGAAUUUAGGCCAAUAGUUUAACUACAAUUUAAUGUCCCGUGUGCAGGAAAAGAGCAACGAUCCAAGUAAAGUGAAAAAAUCUGCAAAUAUGGUUAAGAACGCCUAUUUCCGAUAGGAAAUCAAGGUAUGUAAAUAAACUAAAGCCCCUACCUUCAUUUUAUUCGAGCUAAAGAUCAAAUGAGAUGACAUGAUUGGUAACUUUUGAGACCUGAAUUUUGUUCUUGCUAGCUACGGUCUCUUUACUUCAAGGAGGCAUGUUUGUUAUGUAAUAUUAGGACUGGAUGACUUAAUAUUGAGGAUUUUAGCUUAUUAUUGUUUCUUAAUGUUGUCCAGUAUUUUCCAGUUUUGGUUUUGAAUGGCAUUUGACUCAAGAAUUGUAUUACUUUUGUACAAAAUAUGAUAUCUACCUCUACCGUUUGGGAGACUUGUAUUUUGCUUUUUGAAGUAUAAUGAGUAUAUUAGAAAUUACAAACCAAUAGUAGGUAGAACACAUUAGAUAAUGGAGUCAAUGGUAUCCACUAAUCUUUACAGAGUGUUCUUCCGUCCAAUCCGAUGAAAUGAUUAAUCGAAAAUAAUGAGUGGUCAUUGAUAUAGACACAUUCGAUAUCCCAUUAUUGAAUUGGAAACGGUAAAUACUUCUUGCCUGGGGCAGCUUCGUUCCGAUGAAAUGAUUAAUGGAAAAUAAUGAGUGGUCAUUGACAUAGACACGUUCGAGAUCCCAUUAUAGAAGUGGAAAAGGGAAAUGUUCUUGCCUGGGACAGCUUCGUUCCUUAGCAUUUAAGGAAAGUUGUCUACGGCAUCUUUUGUUUUUGUGUACCGCACUAAUUUUAAUGUGCACAAAUUCUGAAAUUCAUAUGGUUAAGAUUCGUUCCUUGUACCAUUUUCAUUAGGACACAGAUUUGGACAAUUGAACUACGUGUGUCCAACUCCUCAGUGUUGGUAACGACAUGUUACCCAAUAAUAUGUACUCACUUGCCCUACCUUCUUUUAUAAUAUAUUUUUCUUUUCACAAACCGACUAAUCAACUAAAUAAAAUAAAAUUGAUAAGUUUUAUAAAACGGGUCUAUUUCUUAAUGUAAUUCAUGAUAAAUUUUAAAUUAGGGCGCUAAUAGUUCAUUUGUUAGGACUUCUAAAAGUUAAGGCCCCGUUUGGUAUGGAUUUUUUGCCCCAAAAAUUGAUUUUUUAAGCGUUAUUUUACUAUUCAAGCCGUAAUUUUUGACUUCUUCUCUCACAUGUGGACCCCACUUUUCUUCUAACGGUCAAAAAAUCAAUUCUCAAAAUUCCUACCAAACGGGCCCUAAAAGUAAAUUCUGAGAUCGAGAAUUUGAUUUUGAACUUAUUUCAAUAAUUUUUUAAAAAUACUUUGUUGUCGAAAAAUGUCCAUUUAUUAGAUAUAGCAAGAUGUGUGAUCCAUUAGCCACUUUUUUCUCUAAAUAUAGUACCUCUCUUUUCUCUCAAUCUUUCCACUUUACUUCUCGUUUUAUUUUGCAUACCAUAAACUUCUUCUCUUAUUUCUCUCCUCGCUGAACAACAAAGAAAAUCCAACUUAUUCUCUACCGUCGUCAACAGUAACAUCGUCAUCGGACUGGUCGAGACGACAUGUCGACAAUGGCACGUAGUCUCUUCACCUGUUUUGGUAAAGGCUCCCCGCACCAGAAGCUUGAAAAUUCAAACGAAGGUGCAACCUUGGACAUGGUGGUGGAGGAGCAACGGAGAGGUGGGCCGGUGGUGGUGGAGCUGUUUUCAUCACAGGGAUGCGCCACCUCUCCAGAGGCGGAGCUGCUGUUCUCACGGCUAGCGAGGGGUGAUUUCAACCUCGAGGUGCCGUUGAUAUUGUUGGCCUACCAUGUUGAUUAUUGGGAUUAUAUGGGCUGGAAGGACCCUUUUGGGUCCAGCCAAUGGACUGUGAGACAAAAGGCCUAUGUUGAGGCCCUGAACCUUGAUACAAUGUUCACGCCCCAAAUUGUGGUCCAGGGUCGGGCCCAAUGUGUUGGUAACGAUCAGGAUGCUUUGUUAUCCUGCAUCACGUCUGCACCGCGAAUCCCUGCUCCGUCGUUCCAGGUCAGUAAAUCUAAUUAGGGGCGGACGUGGGUCGGUUCGACGGGUCGGUUCGGUACUGUUCUAAAGAGAAUCGAACCGAAUCGAACUUUUUGGGUAUUUAAUAAAUGGAACCUUCGGGUCCAAAUAUAAUUAUGGAAUCGUUCAGGUUCGAUUCCGUUCAAUUCGGUUCCGUUCAAUUUUGUACUAUAAUUAAAUUUUAUAACAUUUAUAACAACAUUAUAUAAAUACAACUAAUGAUAUAUUCAAUAGUUUUGGAAUGUCAGAGACUAGUAAACUAGCUUGUUCAAAUGAUCGUUACGAUCAUAGUUUUGGUUGGCGAAUGUCACAGCUUCGAUCUAAAGUAACAGUGUCGGUCGAUGAUUGUAUAGGUUUUGGAAUAUUAGCGAGGCUACGAGAGUGAGUGCGAGAGUCGAGACAACGUUAUGCACUUUAUUGUUGGUGUUUAGGGUUAUUUAGUGGAUUUGAUCUUACUUCACUAAGAAAUGAAACAAUAAAAUGGGUAAUUGGGUCAAAAAUUAAAAAAUUAAAAAUGAAACAAAUUAUUGGGCCAAAAAUUUGGAUUUAGAAAUCAUUAAUUUAUUAAUUUUUUUAGAAAAAACUAAAAUUAAAAUAAUUUGAUUUACUCAAUAUAAAAAAAAAAUAGAAAUAUUCGGUUCUUAUUCGAUUUUUCGAUUCUUGGUCUAGAAUCGAGAAUCGAACCGUACCUGUCGGUUCUCAAUUCAGAUAUCCGUUUGGAUAUUUAAUUUGACAAGAACUGUCGGAUUCGGUUCGAGUUCGAUUCGAAAGAUUUGCCAAACUCUAAAUCUAAUGAAUAAGACAAUUUGCCCAUAUUUGUUUAAUAUAUACCUGAAUCGACCAAGUUUUCAUCCGUGUGAAGUUUAAUCAAAUUCAUAAAUCAUGUCACUUGCCAGGCGACAUUCCAAAGGACAACGCCAGAGUCCUUGCAAGUGUCUCUCAAAGGAGCUUUAAGGGCUAAGGGAGAUCAACAAGGUGCCAAUGUCAUGGUUGCUCUGUAUGAAAGCGGUUUAGUGACAAAUUGUCCAAAGGGAGUGAACAAAGACCGCGUCCUAGCCAAUGACUUUGUUGUAAGGGGGCUUCAGAAACUCUGUUCAGUUAAAGAUACCUCUACUAGAAAAAUGAUUGCUGUUAAUUUUUCUUUGUGGCAAAGUUUCAAUAGCAACAAAUGUGGUGUCGCUGUCUUUGUAGAAACAAGUUCUCAUCAAAUUUUGGGUUCGCAGAAUUUUCAGUUGCCAGAUAAUGUGUGAGUUCUAAUUUAUUAAAAGUUCGACGACUUGUGUUGAAGUUUAGAUGGUGUUAUUUUUCUAUUUUGAUUCAUUUUUAGUUCUCUACUUGAUUUGAAGGUUAUGAGAUGAGGAUAGAUUUGGGUAGGGAUGAAAUGUGAUUCGAAAUUUGGAACUUUCGUAUGAUGAUGAUUAUUAUACAUACAUAUGUUUGUUUAAUUUUUUUUCCCCUUUUCAAAUGAUUUAGGUUGAAGAAAUAAAUAUAACUAAUAUUUUUUCUCGAUUUAAAAAUUAAAAAUUUUAAAUAAAUAAACUAGAAAAUUAAAAGUCAACUUCAAUACUUUUAAAAUAUCAAUCGCAAUCGACAAAAUAAUUUCUGAACGGAGAAAAUUGGGGUACUUUUGUUAUAUAGUUUAAAGCGAAGGCCUUCAUAGGCAUGGAAUUAGUCAAUGUGUUGAUUAUUGGUUUAAAUGCACUUCAGGUUCCCCAACUUUGAAUAGAGUUGCAUCCGAGUCACUCCAUAUAUAUAUAUAUAUAUUGAAAGCCGAAUGACCUCAUCGGCUCAUUGCACCAAAUUAAGGAUAAGCGCUCGUAUAAAACUUUGCUCUAAGUUGGAUUAACUGCAAUGUACUUCACCCCUUAAUUGUAGCUUCAGGGGACCCAUUGCAAGUCAUCAUUACCAAAAUCUUUUAAGGUUAUAUGUUCAAUUAAAAUCACUAUAGCAUGGUGAUAAAUCAAAUCUAGAACACCGGUGCAAGAGAAAUGUCAACAACUUGAGGUCGUACCAACCAUUCGAUCAAGUAAAUUUUCUUAUAAUACAGCUCGUAAACAAGAUAUAGGAAAGAGACAGUUGCCCUAACUGGAUUGUGCACAGCUGUAUUUGAGAAGGAUUGUUAAACUACAAAAACAUUAACCAAUCGACACGACCAGUACUUAUAAUUCUAAGUGUUCCAAAAUUCCAAACGGUCAUGAAAAGCAUGCUCAUUGAUGCUAGUAUCCCUGUGGCAUAUAUUCACCUCACAAACUAAGAUCAUUACGAAUAUUAUUCUUUUCUACAUGAAGCAUUGAACCGUUAUUCACCAUCCCGAGAAAUGAAUUAAAUACAGAUGGGAUGAGAUAAGGUUAGAAAAUCACCAUGGAAAAACGAUCACACACAUAAAUAAGACCGACAAGUACUUUACACUGAAUCCACUGCCUCAACCUGCUGCCGUGCAAGAUAUUUCUCCCGUCGCUCUUUCUGAAAACAAGAUAUGAGUAUUGAAAUUGGAGAAAAAUCAAAAGUAUAAGGCUAUCACCACAUACAUAUUAUAAUCUCAAAUGUACAUUCGACAUAAGCAUCAAAUACUUACCCAUUCAUCUAUCACAAGACCUUCUCCAACGACUUGUGGACCUGCAUCAACCGGAGGCUUCUUGCGUGCUUCCGUGGCAGAAUCAGCUUCAGCCAAUUGACGCUUCAGUUUUUCUAGUGCCUUAAAUGACGAAAAACAAAGUGAGAUGGUAAUAACCUAAAAAUCAAGGGAAUAACAUGUGAUGAUUAGAUGAGAAUUGAUUCUUACAGGACUAGGGCGUUCUGGAUCCAAAAAGACAACUCGCAAUAUACGCUCAACAGUUACCUGAUCCCUUUGCUCAUCAAACUGCAUGAAAUAAAAAUAAUGAACGAAUAAAAACCAAUCAAGCUCUGGAUAAGCUUUCGCAAUUCAGAUUUAUUUCCUCGAGGAAAAAAGUCAAUAUGCUGUAACACCUAGAGAAAAUCUCACAAUCUGCAUCCCAAGAUACUGAAGCAAAAACCACCAGUAUCAGCAGUACUAGUUAUAUAAUUAAGCUAGGACUGAAGCAUUAAGAAUGUUAAAAAUUAUUCUUCGCAGAAACAUGUGUACAUGAACUGCAAAAGGUCAAACAUAUGCACUCACUUGAGCAACACAUGUAAAACAAAUAAUUUAACUCGUAAAUGUCGGAUGAAAUUGAAUGAAGCACAUAGAAAUAGUGGGACAUUAAUUUUUAAACAUGACAUAUGGAUACAUAAUCCCAGAGACCUAGCUCAGCUUAGUUCAAGUAAAAAGAAUUGCAACCUUGUACAUAUAACAUAGAAUCGUAGUAGCCGCCUCUGACUACAUAUCUGACAAGCUUGCAGGUGCGCAAAAACAUUUUUGAUUUGAACAGUAAUUUUACAACAGAGACAAAUCAACAACAUGCAUCUCCUAUUAUUUUCUAGUUUCCAUUCGAUGAUUGCUACUUGACUUCAACCUCCCAAAUAAAACAAGAGGACAACAAAUCAAUCUUUGAAUAGAGGAAUCCAGAAAACAUAUAAUAUUGAUACAUCACGUUAUAAUAAACAAAAUGAAACAAAAACAAAAAGAAGAAGAAGAAAACAAAAGUGCUUCAUGUUUGCAAAAGAAAGGUAAUCCAUUGACAAAUUUGACAAAUAAAUAAAAACUCAAAUGUAACAAUGGCAGUUUGGCAUGGAAUUCAAACAAAAUCCUAUCGUGGCAUAACUACACCAAAAAAUUAGCUUUAUGACCACCAAAAGCAUGUUCCCUGUAAAUAGAAUACAAUGAGGGACGUGGAGAGCAGGCAUGGCUUGAGACCCCUUAGUCAAGAUUAGUCAAUUGAGAACAGUUCGUUAGAAAAGCAUAAACAUAACUCAAACACAGCUAUGAAAUGAUUAACAUUUUUUGUAAAAAAUAGUUUUUUUUAGAACGUUCUAAAAAAUCUUUAUUUUUUUAUUUUUUGUCCUUUAUCCAAGUUUAGCAACUAAAAAAAAAAAAAAAGAUUUCAAUGAAAUUUCUUUUUCUUUUUUCCAUUGUAUUCCUUUUAUCAACAUUUCCUAUUCCUUCUAUGCCGAAGGUUUAAAACCAGUUGCUACAAAGAUAUGACUGAUUUAUCAAAUCGAUUAUUUUUUAUGUAUCACAAUGGUCUAUUCCAACGAUUAGUAUCCAUUUUGGGAACAUCCAAUGCCAAAGUCACUGAAUGGGUAAGUCGCCAAUUCCUGGACUAUGUAAUCAGUUCGAUCAUCUUAUCUUGAUUUCUCGAACCCGAUCCCAAAAGAACUAAAAGAAAGUCAUAUAUUGGUCCAAGUAAACCCAUCUGAUUUAAGUACCACAUGGGUGGAUAUUUAUAUGAAUCCAUAUCUCCCGAAUCACGCAUGAAAGCCUUUCAUUUGCUUCUCUUUGAUGGAAGUUUGAUUUGCUUUUGGGGGCUGAGAUACUAUUUCACUAAUCAAGUCACAGGUAUUUAACAUAUUCAUACCUAACUAUUUUCCAUAAAGUGGUGACGAAAUAGCUGGAGACAAAAGAUUCAUAUGAGAAAACAAAAGUAAACGGGGAGGAAUAUUUAUUAUUUGAUCCAUAUCCCGGAAGUCCAAAUUUAAUAGUAGCAAAUGACAAUUAAGUAGAGCUCAACCAUACCAAUUCCUUUUCAGUAUCACAAGCUCAAUUGACUACGUGUGAGAUAAAGUAUCAUGUGCCUGUCAACUAACUUAAUAUCUACAAUGAUAAUAACUCUGAAACGAAACUGAUUUUGUGAAUUAUUUGUUCUCUAUCAAAGCUUCAUAAGCAUCCUUGUUGGCAUCCAAAAUUUCAUUAGCCAUUAUGCAGAAACAUAGCAGGAAAGUUUAAAUCAUAGAACUAUAAUAUGGAGACAUGAAAUCAUUAAACAAGCGUAACCAUAUUCUAAUGUGUAACAACGUGAACAACACAAACUCACUAAGACCGAAGAUCCUUGCCUUUAGAGGACGGACACCAAGUUUCUUUUGCAACAUGCAACCACAUUUAUAUACAUGGACCCACAAGUGACAUUAUAAAGAACAGACUGUCAGCAACAACCUUUAAGAUAAUCGAAUAAUUACAGUACAUAUCAUCCAAUUUCAUCAUAGUUAAAUUAUUACCUGCCAAACGGCAUAUGAACAAUGACAUUAGAGGACAAAAACUCACCAACUCAGGUAAGUAAUCCAUGCCAUCUUUCACCUUCAGACUCAUGAUCUUGAACUUGACCUUGCUCUUCUGACCUAUAGGCUUUUCACUGUUCUCUGGGUGCUCCACAAACUUGAACACUGGAAAAAAGAUACAUGAAUUUAACAAGUACAUUUCUGAUAUUUCAACCUGAACACGAAGAAAGGUGCAUUUGCAAGUUUGACUGCCCAAAAAGACUGAUGAAAAAAAUAAUUACCAGUAGCAAUGAGGCUUUCUCCAGGAGCAAGGAUACCUCCAGGUGGUCGCAUAAAACAACUUUUUGGUGCAGUAGUUUGAAACUAAAGACAAAAUAUAACAGUCAACUUUUCUCGUGCCACUUGUCUAGUUCACGGAGACUGAUAACAUAUAUUGCAUUUCAAAGUAAUAAAUCAGCAGCAUUCUUUGUUGUAUGAAUGUUCAUAGGAUCUUAUCUUACAUAAACAUUAGACAAUAAUUUAAAAACAAGUUAAUAUAGUUGUAACAUUCUACACGGACGAAGAAACCUUUCUGCCAUUGCAUUAAAAUAAGUUUUCUCUCCUUAUUUGUAGACAAUUCACAGAAAAUAAUAAUAAAAGGAAAAUAGACUAAUUAGAAAUGAAGACUCCGGAUAAAAAGACUCAAAAUAUUAAUAAUUACUAAAUAAUAAAUUAGUAAAGCGGAAACAAUACCUUGAAAGCAACGAAAGACUUGCUGGAAUUCUUAAUCCUAACGGCGCUUCUAGCCUGCUUUCCUGGCUCAUCUUCAAUAUGUACAUACAGAGAAAGUAUAUUUAAACAACUAAUUAAGUACAUUAUAAACGAGCUUAAACAAGGACAGAUUAUUUUCAACCAUAUCAAUACAUAAGUAGUAAAAUUAGAAAAGUGAUUGUCUAGGUACAGGAGAUGAUAGUGAAGACAACGCACAAGGAAAGUAGAGAUUAUUAGAAGGAUCGAAACGUAGUCGACGUCGAGCGGGGAGAAUCGAUCUGGCGACUGAGGAUACGGUGGAGGCAGAGCGGGCAUCAGAAGAGACGCCGUUGUGGUGGUAGUUAUUCUGCGAAUUGUUGUGAAGAUUCUGAGUAGAAGAGGCGGUCGCUGAUUGCCAAAUCGGGCAGAGCCUCCACUUGUUCUGUUGAUGUUGACCUUCGGUAAUCGCCAUAGCCAGGUGGUUGUCCGCCUUUCGCCGUCGCCGGAAUCUGUCGCAAUUCCUCAGCUGUAUUUUAUUUCACGAAAUUGCGUUGACUAAAAUGUUUUGAGAUGUCAAAAGUCAGAGAGCAGGAUUUUAGCAUCCGAGUUGUUAUCUUUUUAUCUUAAUCGUACGCGGGAAUAGGAAGUGCGUUAAUCGGACUUCUAAUAAUGGUAUUAAAACGGAUUGACUUAGAGAUUUGACGUCCGUUCACACGCCUACUUGUUUUACUCGUGGAGUAGUUCAGGUGGACAUCACACCUCCUAAUUUUUUUUUUUUAUCUAUCCCGUUUGAUUCUCAUGUUUGUCGAAAUACAUUUUUCGGUCCCUUCUUCUUAAUCACAAGUUUUUCAUUAAAAUAAUAUUAUAUAUAAAUAAAUAAAUAAUUCUUAUUUUUCAUCCAUAUAUUUUCGAUCAAUCUACUAUUUUAAAAUUAUUUUUCCAUAAAAAUAGGUGUCAAACACCCUUCUAAUGCAUUACAAGUGAUUGUUUGAAAAGAAUUUAUAAAUAGAUAAAAGUAAAUGGCGAAUGUUAAAAAUAUUACAUGUGAAUCCAUUGAAAUAAAUGAUAAAAGAAUGAAGUUUGAUCGUAAAUAAAUAAAUUAAGUUGGAGAAUUCGAGAAGAGCUGUUAUAGUCUAGAUAACAUUGGACUCAAGUGAUUUAUUGUUCAAUAAAAUAAAAAUAUAUACCAAUUUCAAACGCUAUGUAGAUUAAUUGAAUUGAAUUGUGCAUAUGCUGCAAUCAAUUUAAGUAGCAGUGACGUGAUGUUAAAUGAUAGGUUCAAUAAAAUUUAAGGCUAUGAAAUUUACGAGUAUUGUGUUGUUGAGAUACACGAUGAUAAAUAAUAUUGUUCUAAAUGGAAUUAUUCGAGAAAUAAUAUUGACAUGUGUGGCAUAGUAUUCAAUUAAAGAAAAAGAGUCAAAAAUUGUUUAUUGCACUAUUUUAUUAUGUUCAUACACGUCCAUGUAUUUAUUUGAAUGUGUGGCCGUGUGGGGUUGGUAAGUUUGUGGUGUAGGUUAGGUGGAAGGUAGUUAAUUACUUAGGUAACUAAUGACAAUUCCGAGGUAAAUUUGACCGUGCGAAUAGUAAUUUUUGAGAAAUGUGUGAUUAAAAAAUAAGAAAUUUUUUUAAUUUACGUUUAAUAUUUUUUUAUUAAAUAAUGUAUAGUUGGAAAGAAGAGAGAGAAAAUUAUAUUAAAAUUUUAGAGAGAAUCAAACAAGGGCUUAACAAUACUUGACCGCUGGUCAAAUCCAUAACUUCGUUAAUAUAAUCUUGUGUAUUUGUAAUUUUUACCUCUCUCCACCGUGUUCUUACUUGAAAUCUUUCAGUUCAUCCAUGACCCAAUGCAUGCUGCUUGCUUCUUCCCAAUAACCUCCUCUUGUUCCACUCAUAUUCUUCAGUACUUCUUCCUUUGUAUUUAUGUAAUCAAGAAUUUUGAAUGGAUUCAGUAUGUGAUUGUGCUCUGGAUAUAAAGGACUAAGAACCACAUUUCGGAGUCUUGCAAUUACUCUCUUUACAGAAUGCCAUUUGAGAGUUUCAAAAUAAAGAUGUCUUUUUAUUCAAUAAAUACAUUUUUGCUAACACACCUUCCUAUAAAUAAUGUACAAGUGUCAAAUUUCUAUCCAAAAAGAGUACAGCCAACAUAUAUAUAUAUAUAUAUAUAUAUAUAUAUAUAUACAAAUGGGUUAAACCAAACGGACAGGGCCGUGGAUGUCUAGGGCCCUAUGUGGUGCGUCCACGGUCCUAUGUGGCGCCCCCUAUUGGGCGCGCCUAUCCCCCCAAGAAUCUUCCUAUACAGAUUGGGAAAGGUUAAGCGGUUUUAGUUAAAAUCAGCUGCUUCAGUGUAUAGUUUUUGGAUGUGAUUACCAAGACUCCAAACUAUCCGGACAAAUGGGGGAAACCGCGUGGAAAGGUUGAUUAGAUAAUAAUCAAGGGGCUCCACUUGGCUUUUAAUUUUAAUAGUUAAAGCCUGUUUGGGAGUGAUUUUGAAAAUUAAUUUUUUGACCGUUAGGAGAAAAGUGGAGUCCACUUGUGAGAGAAUAAGUCAAAUAUGACAGCUGAAAUAGUGAAAUAAUGGUCAAAAAAUCAAUUUUUUUGGUGAAAAAAUUGGACCCAAACAGGCUAUUAAUUAAAAUGCACAAAAAUAAUUAAGUAGACAUAGCAGAAAUGCUUUGAUAACAUGAAUUUCUAUUCCUCAACGAUAUUCCACAAUCAAGACAAUUGGCUAAAUUCCGUGAAAAAGCUUUAGGAGUCACUGAAACAACUGCGGGAUCAUAUUGGAGUUGGGACCUAAAUGAAACUUAGGCAUUUAUUAUUUCAAUUUCUUUGAUUAAUUUGAUGGUUACCAGAAAUUUCAACUGCGCUCAUAUUCGUCACUAGGAAUUGGACAAGUUUUGAAAUAUUCAUAUUACACAAAAGAUUAUUCAUAUAUUUUUGCGUACGGAACAUGGCCUUUACAUUUAUGUUCUUUCACUUUGUCAAUGUUAAGUAGUAAUUUCGAUCCAACCCUAUUAACAUAUUAGGUCAAAAUUGAGAAAGAUGCAGUUCCCAGAAGCACAAUGAACAAAAAAGGUGUAUUAGCUAAGAACAAAACUCUGACGGAUGCCAUGGAAACAUAAUGUUUAACCUUGUUUAAAACUUUGGAAACUAGUACAAAACAUCAUUAAGCUUGAGCAAAUAUUUAGCUCUCUACAUAAUAUAUACACAAAGAAAUAGGGGUUUGGAGAUUCUAUUCAAUUAGGUCCCCAACAGCUCAAAUACAUAACUGUUCUCAGUGAUUCCUCAGAUUUCUUCAACUUCUGAUCUUCCUUCAUCUUUUUACAUAUAAUUGUUGAAGAGGGUACUCCAGAGAGUCUCUUGGUCUCAGUGUAUGAUCUGAGGUUGUUCUUGGCAUGUUGUUGCAGUAGCCUCAUGGCAUAAUUCCAUCUACAGAAUCCCUGAUCUUUCAGUGCCUCAACAGCCCCAAUGCUUGCUCCCACUAACCAAGCCCUGCUCGUGGAACUCAUUUCAGCUUCUUCUUUCGUACAGAUUCAGUGUUUAUUGCCAAUGGAUAUGAAUGGUGAUGAAGAAUGAUGAGGAGAAUGUGUGUUUAUAUAAGAAACUGGUGCAGGUUUCGCCAGCAGAAAAGGAAAGCCCCCAGUUUUAGGUGGUUGUAUUAUAGCCAUAUGCAUCAAGGAUUGUGCCAAUGAAUUUAGACCAAUUCGGGGAGAAAGCAGAUAUGCACGAACUCACAUCAUGUCCCACUUGCAUAUUUUAUAAGUGAAAAUUUUUUUGGCCAGAAUAUAAAAGCAAUAGAGUAGAGUACAGGAAAAAUUGCAGUAGAGGUUCCAAAUCUUUCAAUUUACUGCAGAUGGCUCCUAUACCUUUUAUUUUAACGUCGCAAUCUCAAACGUUUCACUUAGAGUCCAGACUGCAGCCAAAGUCCAUUGGACAGAUCUCUUUCAUUAAUUUAUUAGUCAACAUUGACAAAAUAAGUGAGGGAAAAAUAGUAAAUUUAUAUUUUUUUAUAAUAUGAAAUUUAAAUAAAUCAAUCAAUCAAUCAACUUCAUCUUUUCCAUACCCCACGCCCAUCGAGGAAAUACCUAUAGAUAGCCUAAAUACAAGAGCAAUUUAUAAGAUUAGACAUAAAAAAAUAAUUAUUUGAAAAAUAGCCUUUGAACAAUAUUUUUUCCAAAAAUACCCCUUACAGAGAAUUUGCAACCAAAGCUACUACAAUGUAUAAAAACUUUCAAUUAGGUUCUCAGAGAAAUAUAGAUCAUAAAUCUUUAAUAAAUUUAAACUCAAAUAUUAUACAAAAUUUUAUUGAUCUAAGAAAUGCAACAAAUAAUGAAUUAAAUUAUUCAAAAGAAAAUCUAAAAAGUUUCUUUACCGAAUAUUUAGAUCCAAAAUUAAAACAUAAAAAUGUUUAUAUAGAUAAAGGAGCAAUCAAAACCAAAAAUGCUAUACAUGAAAUAAUUCUUAACCUGGAAAGAAGAAUUAAAAAAUUAAAUAUAAUUAUUAAAAAAAAGUCUUAACAAAAGAUAGUGAAUUUUAUAAAUUUUAUUGUGAUAUUCUAAAAACUUAUGAAGAUUUUAAUUGGCUCGAAAAUCUUAACCCCUCUGCUGCACACUCCGAAGAAAUGGUAUUAGAGUCAUGUUACAAACCUAAAAUUAUGAUAAACAUAGUAGAUGAAAAAAAUAUAAUUGAAAAUUUUUUGAAAAAAAGCAGAAAAACAUAAAAAACCUAGUUAUCCAUAUUUACCUAAAAACACUACAAAUGAAAGUUUUGAGGAUAUACAUAAGAGAUUAGAAAAUUUAGAACAUAAUCUACAAGUAGGAAAUGCUCUAUUAGAUAAAAAUCUUAAAGGAAAUGAUGGGAUUAUAAUUAAUCCACCUCAAGAUUUUAGAAUAACUCAAAAAGAAAAUAAUAAAAGGAAAAGACAUGAAGAAAAACAAUAUAUGAUUACAAAUGUAGAAGAAAUAGAACAAAAAUUCUUAGAAUCUACUGGUGAAGAAUAUAAAAAAUAGUUAGAAGAAUUAACUGAAAAUAUGAAAAAUACAAAGAUGAAUACUAAUCCAUCAUUAAGUCGAAAUAUAAAAAUAGAAUUCAGUAGUGAUUAAAAAUAUGAUUAUCCUUAUGGUACUACAAUACCACUUAAGGAUGGUAUUAAUCAAUAUAGGAAAAUACAGAAAAGAUACACUAGAAAUAUAAGAAAACAAUCCAUAAAAGAAAUAAAUCCAAUGAAAUCUUAUAAUGAACCAAACCACACAACAGGAGUAUGGUUAGACCUAGAUUGUGUAGAUAAAAAUAAAGCUAUUGAAACAUGGAUAAAAAAUAUAGACUUAACAAUACAAUUUAAUAAAUGGGAAACAUAUACAGCUUUUGGAUUUCUAGAACAUACAUUCAGAGGAAUUGUUUUUGAAUAGUGGAGAAAGUUAUCAGAAUCUAUAAAAGGAAGAAUAAAGCAUGGAGAUAAUAGAACUAAAGUAUUAGAUAAUAGGAAUACUUUAAAUAAUCAAAAUAUACAGGAGAUAUUAAAAAGGUUUGAAAAAAUCUUAAGAAUAGAAUUCUUAGGAGAUAGAUAUGCUUCUAAUGAAAAAGAAAGAAAACAAGAUGAAUAUAAUGAAAGAAUGAUAGCAAUGGAAAAUUUAAAGAUAUAUGAUAUGUGUGAAUUAGAAAGAUACACAUGUAAAUUUGAAGAAUUAUACUAUAUAUUAAAUCAAUGAGAUUACCAAGAAAAUAAACAUAUACUAAGAUCUUAUUUUACUAAGUUACCAUUCCCAUGAGAAAUUAAGUUAUUAAAAGAAUAUGAAAAAUUAUUAUCUCUAGGAGAAGAGGAAGGAGUAAAAAUAGAUAAUCUUGGAAGUGGAAUUGAAUUUACAAAAAGAAUGAUAGGCAUGUAGUGUAGAGAAGCUCUUGAAAGUAAGAGAGUAUAUAAAAUAAGAAAGAAUUCCCUAUGCUGUUACAAAGAUAUAGGUCAAGUUGAACAAUUUGGAUGCCAUAAGAAAAAAUACAAACCAUAUAAGACAUAUAAAAGAAAAUUCAAAAACUACAAAAAAUUUAAGAAAAUGAAUUUUAAACCACACAAAAAAUAUUUCAAGAAAAGAAAUUGGAAUAAAAAGCCUAAAUCAAAAAAUAUUAAAAAAUGUAGAUAUUUUAUUUGUAAUGAAGAAGGACACGUUGCUUCUCAAUAUCCUAAAAAGAAAAAUAGACAGAAUAUAAAAACUCUUAGAAUUUAUGAAAAAUUCCAAGAUGAUGGUGAUAUAGAACCAAUUGAAUAUUUUGAAGAUCUAAGUAGUGAAUACAGUAGCAUUUAUAAAUUAAAUACAUCCUCGUCAGAGGAAGAUUAUGAGGAGAUAGUAUAUAUAAAUCAAGAGAUACAACAAUCAGAAAUAGAAAUAGAAACAACUGAAAAAGUUGAAAACUCUAUAGAGGUAUAGAUCAAAAAAUUACCUUUGAUAUUAAAAAAUAUACAGGAAUCACUAAAAAAAUAUUAGAUUUACAAGAAAAAGAUGUAUUCCAUCAAGAAUUCUUAGGAAUAUUACCAAUAGUAAAUAAAACAAUUGUAAGUAUGAAUUAUAAAGAAAUGUUUAUAAAUAUAGAAGAUACUAUAGGAAAAGUAAGGAUUCCUAUAAUUACAAAAGAAUGGGUAAAACAAAAAUUAUCCAAAAUUUCAGAGAACGUAAGAAACAAAUUGAAAUGUAUUGAAAUAGGAGGAGUCCAGAUAAUAGUAAAAAGAUUCUUUAGAGAAGGCAUGAACAUACCAAUUGAAAUCUAUUGCAUGGACAACAGAAUCUUACCAGAUCCUAUAGAUGCUCUAUUAGGAAUAGUCGUAGGAAACUUAGUCCAUCAGAAGAUAAUAUUUACAGUAAAAUCAAAUUAUGCAAUAUUAUUAAAUGACGAAAAUAUUGACCAAAGUUUCAAUCUAUAUUAUAGAUUUGGAAACUUGAAAAUAUUACGAAGAAGUAAGGCUAUUAGUAUAAGCAUAAAAUCAAUUUUUGCUUUUAAUACUAGCCAUCAUAACAAUUUAAAGAAAAUAACUGAUAACAUUAUCAUACAUAAAUAUUUUGAGGAAUUAGCACAAUAUAUACCUCCUAGGAAAUAUCAAGAACAUGAAAUCACUAUACCAGAAUAGAUAAUGCUUGAUUUCCACAAACAAGCUAGAUAAAUUAAUUCUGAAGGAAAACUAAUAAGAAGAAAAAGUAUCAGCCUAAAAGGAGAUAAUCUUAUUGCAAGAUUCCCCUCCAGACAAGACUCUAAGAUAAGCAAACUUAAGAAAUUAAGUAUUGCUAAACCAUCAAAUUCGCAAUACUAUAUCAAAAUAAGAUAUGUAAAUCAAGAAGGAUAUAAGAAGAAUCUUCUUGUCCUCAUUGACACUGGAGCAGAUAAAAGUCAUGUGAAUGCUAAAUUUGUUAGCCAUUUUAUAGACUUUGAAAUAUCAGAACCAUAUAUAUUUAAGGAUUAUUUAGGAAAUAAUCUUGAAAUAAGAAAAUAUGUAAAGUUCCCUCUUAUACUUAUAGGAGAGGAUCAGAAAGAAUAUACUAAAUAAAUAAUUCUAUAUAAGGAUGAAUUAUAUGGAGUUGAUCGUUCACCUAUUCUACUAGGAAUGAAUUUUCUUAAAAAAUAUAGUUCUUAUAAAAUCUGUCAAGGAUAUUUAAAAAUAACAGUUGAUGAUAACUCAAUCAUCAUAUCAAGAAUAGAUGAAAAUAUGAAAUCAUUGUUAUCAUGGAAAGAGUAAUAAGUACUAAUCCCAUGAGUCCAUAUAUUGAAAUUACACUCAAUAUAAAAAGUUAUUGUAAAAUUAAGUUUCAUGCUUAUUUAGAUACAGGAAGUACAAUAAGCUUAUGCUUACCAAAUGUACUACCAUCUGAAUAUUGAAAAUAUAAUACAAAGAAAAUAGUCACCGCUACAACAGCAGGUGGAAAUAAGGUAGUAUACAGCAAAUAUGCUACGCAAGUACAUUUUCUAAUUUCCUUUAGAGAAGUAUUUGUUGAUACUAUAUAUAUGUCAACCACAAUUGGAUGUGAUAUUUUAUUAGGACAAAAUUUCCUAUUAAAAUAUGCACCAUUUACACAAAUAUAUUGAUAAGUAUAUGUUCACAACACCCUGUGCACACAAAAUAUUUACACCAAAAAUAAAUAAGGCUGUUACAAUAGUAUAUAGAAACAUAAACUAUCAGAGUUCCUCAACCCAGCGUAGUGGAUGUUGGAGUACAGAAAAAUUUAAACCAGUUACAGGCUUAAAAAUGACAACAGAAAAUAGGUUAGAACAAUUGAAAAAAAAAAAUUUCUAAAACAUAUUCUGAAAAUCCAUUAGAAAAAUAGAAUACAGACAAAGUAAAAACAAAAAUAGAAUUAACCAAUCCAGACACUAUUGUUAGAGUCAAACCUAUGAAAUAUAGUGUUGAUGAUCAAAAAGAAUUUAAAAACCAGAUAAAAGAACUGCUAGAAGCAAAAUUGAUUAGGCCCAGUAAAAGCCCACAUAGCAGCCCAACCUUUAUGGUUAGAAAACAUAGUGAGAUAAAAAGAGAAAAAGCUAGAAUAGUAAUAAAUUACAAAAAAUUAAAUGAAGUUACCAAAUUUGAUGGAUACUACUUGUCAAAUAAGGAUACCCUUACUAAACAAGUACAGAACAAAAAGAUAUUUUCAAAAUUUGAUUGUAAGUCAGGAUUUUGGCAAAUCAUGCUUACAGAAGAAAGUAAACCAUUAACUGCAUUUAGUACCCCCAAUCCUUUAGGACAAUAAGAAUGGAAUGUAAUGUCAUUUAGGUUGAAAAAUGCACCACAGAUAUUCCAAAGAAGAAUGGAUGAGGUAAUCAAACCAAUUACUCAUUUUUGUAUUGCAUAUGUAGAUGAUUUACUUAUUCAUUCAAAUAUCAUUGACGAACAUAUUGAACAUCUUGAGAAAUUUUGUUAUAUUAUGAAAAAAUAUGAUAUUACACUUUCUCAAAAGAAAGCUGAGAUAGUUAGAACAGAAAUAGAAUUUUUAGGAUUAUUUAUAAAAGAAGGAGAAUUGCAAUUGCAAUCCCAUAUUGGAGAAAAACUUCAAAAAUUUCCUCAAAAAAUCAAAGAUAAAAAACAAUUACAAAACUUCUUUGAUAUAUUAAAUUAUGCUGAAGGAUUCAUUGAAAAUUGUGCCAAAUUAAAAAAAAAAUUUCUUUCAAAGUUAAGAAAAAAUAUUAUGUGGUCUUGGGAAGAACAAGAUUGUGGAAAUAUAAGGAAGGUAAAAGAAGAAUUAAAGGUAUUGCCCAAAUUUAUAAUUCCACAAAAAGAAGAUUUCUUUAUCCUUGAAACUGAUGUUUCAGAUAAUUAUUGAGGAGCGGUAUUAAAGGUUAAAAAGAAUCAUAGAGAUCAUAAAUGUGAAAAGAAUUGUUCUUGACGUGAGAUACUUGCAGGUUAUACAUCAGGAACAUUCAAAGAAGUUGAAACAAGAUAUUAGACGAACAAGAAAGAACUCAUUGCUGUAAAAAGGGGAGUUCAAAAAUAUGAAGAUUAUUUAUUACCAAAAAAGUUCUUGAUUAGAACUGAUAAUACUCAAGUUAAAACCUUUUUAAAAAAUAAUGUUGAUCCAUCUAUUACCAAUAGAUAUAUUAUUAGGAUGCAAAUUUGAUUUUCAUAUUUCAAAUUUGAUAUUGAAUACAUAAAAGGUAAAACUAACUUUCUUCCUGAUUAUCUUAGCAGGGAUGAAACUAGAACAACUAAGGACGAAAGUCCAAAUGCUUGAGAUAAAAGUUUCCUAUUUGGAAAUACAAAUUCAAAAUAUCCAAGAUAGCAUUCGAGGCAAAAAUAUAGCCCUUGGGGCAGAAGUUACUUGUACCAAGACUAAUAUCCCUUCAUAUGGACUUGUGAAUACUAGUGCUCUCCCCGAGGAUAAAGGGAAAGAGAAGAAGGUAAUAGGAACCCCUUCACAGGGAAUACUUAAGCCUAUUACUGGUAAUGAAUAUACAAAAAUUCUCACUAGGGAAGAUAUUCAAGAUAUCAAAAUCGAAGGUAGCUCUUCUCAGAGCCAAACUCAAUCUAAACUUUCUAUUGAAAGGAUAAAUCCAAAAGAUAUUGUCAAGAUAUGUCAUGAAACAAAAAUUUUCAGAAAAGAUAACCAUGAAAAAGUAAUAUUCUUUAUUGUUAUUUUUAAUGUUCUAUCAGAUUGGUAUCUGGAGAUUGGAAAGUGGAUGAAGACUCUCCACUACUCAAAAUACAACAAGAUACACUUCUAUCCAAGAGCAACAGCCAACUGGGUACGAAACUGCUUUGAGAUAGGAAAUAUACUCUGUAUAUAUCCCAACAAAGAUCUCAAAGAAAUAGCCCAACUUCCAGUUAAUAUCAGGAAAGCUGUUAAAAGAUAUAUUGAAAUCGUCAAGACAAUAAAUAUAUACAUCAGAUUCCAUUCAACAACUAUGGAAUGGGAUCCCGUUCUUGAAUAUAUACAUCUAUCGUUCCAUGUUAUAAAAAUGGGACUUACAAACCAACAUUUUUUACCAACUAGUCAAAAGGUUGUUAAAAAUGGAUAUCAAGAUAUUUUAAAUAUGACGCCCUACAAAAGAGCAAAAGGGUACAAAGAAAUAUUUGAACAUGUAACUCAGAUAAUUACUGAAAAAGAAAAAAUAUGGGUUUAUCCAUCUGAAGACCAUAUUAUCUACUUCAAUGCAAGGAUGGCCACAAAGGAAGAAGAUAUUUGUUAUCUCGGCCAUUUAUUAUCUACAAUUAUCUCCAAUCAAGUACAUGGAUCAGAAGAUGUGGCUAAAGAAUUGUGCAAAUUACUUUGGAAUUACAGUGAUCGCCAUUGUGAAUACUGAGUAGUUGAAGAUAUGAGUCAAGCACCUCUCAACAGUGAAGAAUUCCCUGCAGAAUUCUUUGAUUCGAAAAUGGAAAAGUGAUAGCGACAAAAGUGACCCUUUAUCACUACUUUAAUAAAGAAAUUUAUUAAAAAAAAUUGUGGCCACUAAAAGACAGAAGAUAGUGCAAGAAAGUCUCCAUAAUUGUGACCACUCACCCACCAGUUGUCAAAAGUGGAAGACAAAUUCAAAGAUAAGGCAAAUAAUUUCAAAAUGAUAGGUCCACCUAGCAAGAAGAUAAUGAAGAAAUCGGUGGAGAUUAGACUACUCAACUAUCCACCAAAAGAAAGUGGGAGACACCUGUCAAGAUAAGAUUUCCAAAAAACCUCUAUAAAAGGAGGCAAGAAGAGGGAAGGAAGACAUCUCGAAAUAACCUAUCUCUUAAACACUCUAAAGAAACACAUCUUAGAGAGAUAUUUUUUUUUGUAAUCUGUAUACACCACUUGUAUUCAGAAAAAUAUUAGAUAGCUUGAAGAUAGCAAAGCUUGUAAGAAUGUAAUCACUUAUGGAGUUCUAAACUUCAUAAGGUGAGUACCAAAGGUAUGUAAAUAUAGAUUGUAAGCAUGUACUAUUUCAGUUUAUGAAUAUCAAAGUAAAGUUUGUUAUGUUUAACAAAGUUUUCAUAAAAGGAUUUCGUUAAGUUUCUCAUGAUUCCUCAGCAGUACAGAUAGAGAUUUUAAAAGAUUUUCAAAACAUUGAUUUUGAAUGGAUGUUAGCCAUGUCAAAGUACUCGUCUUUGAUGAAUGGUUUAGGGGAAAAAGGGCAGUUUUCUAACAAAAUUGUAGCACCUUGUGUGUGAGUUAUUUUUUAAAAUUUCGUUCUAAGUAAGAACUUGAUUCUGAAAAGAGUUUGGAUAGAGGUGAAAAAGAGACUCUGGAUACUGUGAGAUAGCGUCUGUGGUAACACGGCUAGUUCUCUAGAAUGAGAAAUGCAACCUUAAUUGAAAAGCCUUUUGCAGAAGCAGUUGUGGACCCAAAUGAUUUAAAAAAAAUAUUUUAAACCUUUACUUGAUUCAGAAGAUUGAUUAAGUACAUGCAAAGCAUCUAUAAGAGCAUACUGGAGGGAAAGCCUGUUUACUUCUAUUUGAUUACUGUAAGUUAUUUACUGGCUUUUAUAUACUUAUGCUUUGAUUAUUUUGAUGAACAAUUCACAAGCAUCCACAUCCACUUCUAAUGAUCUUAUAUUAUACUUAGAUGAGAAAGAUAUUUCGUUUUUAUUUAAAUUAACUGAAAAGUCCGAAGAUAUAUUUCCUGUUAGCAAAGAGAAAAUUGAAAAAGUAUGCCAAGAUAUAGAUUAUUUUUGUAAGCACAAUAUAAGAUUUGAUUCUGUAAAAAUUAGCAGAGAAAUAAGAAAGGUGGAAGAUAUUAUAACUAAACAUAGAGAUAUACAAGAAGAAGUCUCAGAACGAUUAGUUCGAGGAUACAUAACUAAAGAAGAUCAACCUAAGAUCUUUGAAGAAUUAUCAAGAUACAAAGAAUAUUUAAAGGUAUUUGAAAGAUUGAAAAAUAUAGAUAUAUUUCCUGAUUAAUAAAUCCCGAAAGAUACAGGAUACAUCUUGCAAAUAAUAAAAGUAAGGGUAAAAUAGUAUUUCUAAUAGAAGAGGCCAUUGUGGAAAAUAAGAUCAAUAAUCCGGUCAUUUAGAAAUUGCCGCCACGCCGACCCUCAAAAACCAGAUUUGAUUAGCAAUGCCGUGUGACAGUAUGGCCUCUUGAGAAAGUCUUCUUGAAAAUACAAGACUUGAAGAAUUUUUUACACGUGAAAGAUUUGAAAAUUCGAACCCUUCCGCAUUUCUUCGUAGAAGAAGAUGAGGGUAAGUGGGGUGAUUAGACUGAUGAAUGAGUAAGAGCUCGAGGGACAAGAUGUGGAAAUUCUACACUAGAUGGAAUAGCUUUUGGCCUCCCUCAUGGUUUGUCAAUCCCAGGAGAAGGCUACACGAGCUAAAAAUGAGGAAGAAUUGGCAAAAAGACCAAUGUUUGAGCAAGAAGAAAGUUGGGUAGGUAAAAAUAGGGAAAAUUAGUAGAAGAAAUAGUCAAAAGUUGAUAACACAAACUGGGGUACUUUUUAAAAUGACUAGGUCAAAGCAUUGGUUUUAAAAUUUGACAAUUUUUAUUUUUUUAUUAUAUAUAUAUUUUCUUUAUUUAUUUAUUUAUUAUUAUUAUUAUUAUUUUUUUUUUGCAUUCACUAUAUUGGCCUCUUGAAGAGAAAAUGACAAUUUUGCUCUUAUUAUGUUUCAUAAUUACAAAAAAUAUGUUAAUUUUUUGAAAAACAAUAAUACCCUUUAAAGUUUAAAUAAAUUCAAACGGUUACCCACGUAAAUUUCAAAAUCAAAUCACUUUUCUUAUCAGUUUCUUCAAUACAGUUAAAAAUUUUUUUCCUUUUCUAUCUUCUUGAACGUUGAAAUCUCACAAAAUUAUCAAAUGCUCAAAAAAAAAAAUUACUUGCAGCCAACACUCAAAAUUGGUAAAUAUAAAUACGUAUUUUUAAUUUUAUUUUAGUUAAAUUAAUGUAUUGUUUACAUUUUUAAAUCUUAUUUCGGCGUAGGCAGAUGAAUUAUUACAGUAUUAAAUGGAUGUAUAAGUUUUUAGCAAAAACGAGGAAAAAAUUCAUGUAUAUGCAUAUUUUAUUUCAGAAAAAUUUCAUAAUCGUCUGUAAAAUGAAUAAUUAAACAUUAUUUACAUGGAAAAAAGUCUUCGAGGCCGGCUCGAAGUAGCCGGUUGUUUUCCAACAUUUUUUUUAAAAUAAUGUUUAAUUAUUUAUUUUAAAAUUUAUUUGUUCUUAUUUCAUGAAUUAUGUUAAUUGUUUUAUAUGUAUAUUGUUUAUUUAAGUAAAUAUAUUACUAAUUGAAAUAAAUUAAAUAAAUAUUAAUUAAACAAUUGAAAUAAUUAAUGAAAUAUUUUAAAUAAAAAAUUAAAUUAAAUAUUAAAUGAACAAUUAAAAUAAUUAUAUAUUAAUUCCUUAUGUUUAAUCUAAUUAUUUUCUAAUAUUUUUAAUUUGUGAUGCAGAUAUGACAACAGCAUGUGUUCUAAUUUGUUAUUUUUGUGAAUUUCAGAUAAAUGAAAAUACUCAGUGGAAAUGGAAAUAGACGAGUGAAGGAGAUGAGGUUAAAGCAAUUUGUAUAAUAAGAAGUACAUCGUUUAAAGAAAUUUACCAUUAUAUACAAAACGUGCUUAACGAAUAUCCCUCUUAGUACGAUAUGAAAUUGAGAUUUUUAUUUCAGAAGCAUUCAACCAUUUCGAUUCCACCCAUGAAAGUUACUUAUAAAGUGGAGAUGAAGCAUCUAAUUAAAUUGAACCAAGGUCGAAAGUCGACUCCUAUUUGCGUAACUUUAUUGAGGAAGAAUGUCCCCGAGGGUGAACACGAAAUUUUCGAUGAAGAGGAUCGUGAUGUAAAUGAUGUUUGCGAUACAAUUCAAAUUAUUUAUAAAGAUGAUGUGGUUAUUCUCGAGACAGUAGCGACUCACCAUGAUCAUACUGUUACGCACGGAAUUCCCUCGGCAGUUGAAGACAACGAAAAUGAAAAUGCAUUUAUAAAUGAGGAUUUGAUUGCUUUAUCUCAUAUGGGACGUGAGUCGGAUGAGAGCUCAUAGGUCGGACCGAGUACACGGUCCUCUAAUUGUUUACAUGUGGUUCCCGACGAUGAAGAUGUAUAAGUUGAGCAGCUGUUCGAAUCAAAGAAAGAAUUGCAAGAAGAUGUACACCGGAUUGCUUUAAAGCAUAACUUCAAGUUUAAAUUGAAUAAAUUAAAACAAGUCGACAUACACAAUUAUUUGCAUUGACGACAAUUGUCAUUGAUGUUUGUGAAUGAUGAAGAUGGACACGAAUAAGUUCUUUGUAGUUCGUAAGUAUGCACGAAAACAUAUUUGUGGGUAUUCGUUGAAAUGAUCACAGGCAAGCCCGGUCAUGGUUCAUUAGUCGAGAAAUAAUGCACAAGUUUCAGGACCCACGAACGAUCUACAAACCUUCGGACAUUAUUAAUGACGUUCGUCGAGAGUACGAGUUCGUUAUGAGCUAUCAGAAGGCUUGGAAGGCCAAAGAAUACGCAUUGGAGGACUUGAUGAGUUCGACCAAGGAGAGUUAUGCUAAAUUGACCAGGUAUUUCAUUGUUUAGAUGUUUAUUUUAAUUUUUAAUUAUUUUAUUUCAAUUAUUUAUUUUUCUGUUUUUGUAAUUAUGUAAUUCAAUAGUUUAUUUAAUAUCUAAUCAAUUAUUUCAUUGAAUUGUUUAUUUUUCUAUUUAUUUAAUAUUUAAUUGAUUAUCUAAAUUAUUAUUAUUGUUUAUUUAAAUUGGCUAGGUAUUACUAUAACAUGAAAAGAAUUAAUACUAGAUCAUCAUUUUUUAUUGAAAAUGAUGAUGGGUAUUGGUUCAAGUAUUUCUUUAUGGCCCUUGGACAAUGCGUUCGAGGAUUUCGAAAUGUAAUGCGACCCCUAAUCUUAGUCAACGGUAGAACCCUUAAGGCAAGAUACGGGGACAAGUUGAUUAUUCCAACAUGUCAAGAUAUCAACAUCUAAAUUUACCCUAUUACAUUCGGCAUAGGCGACGGAGAAAAUGAUCUAGUGAUGCGUUAAUUUUUCACAAAGUUGAGGGAUGUAAUAGGGGAUGUCGAGAACCUUACAUUCGAAACCGACCGAGGGCAGUUAAUAAUAAAUGACAUCGUCGAAAUCUUCCCUAAUGUACAUCAUAGUUAUUGUAUAUACUAUAUAAAGGGAAACCUGAAGAUCAAGUAUCGAGACAAGGGUAUCGUUGAGUUGUUUAGGAGAGUUGCAGAAGUUUACAGUUUUGAAGAGUUUGAGAAGUUCAUGAUCGAAAUAAACAGUAAAUUACACGCUGCAUGGAAGUAUCUAAUAGAGAUAGGGAUCGAACAUCGAGCAUGGCCCAAAUGCUGGGUUCCAGACGACCCUGCAUCUGGGCCGUCUCCUAGCCGCCUGCUUUGUUGCAGACGACGAAAAUGGCGGAGAUUGCUACCCCAAAAACACCACCAAAAUAAACACUUUCAUUAAUUAUUUACAUUCUACAAAGAUUUCUUCUACUAUUUUUCAACAGAUAAACCAUAAAAAUCAGAUUAAUGGAAGAAAAAAGUUGCAAAACUUACCUUAUUCGUUCAUAAAUGGACUCUGGUCGGUUUCCUUCCAAUUCCAGCAGUCAGUUUCUUGCUGUAAUUUCCUCCCCCUUUUCAGACUCUCUAGACGUCAGUUGAAGUGGAUGUGUGAGGGGUAAUAAUGGAUUUUCAUUGUUUUUAAGGAUUUUAAAGCUUUUUUGUUUUUUUUUAAAAUGGUAGUCAACGGCAAUGGCCAAUUCAGGUAAUUAUUUGCCACCAUUUCCUCUAACAAAAACCCCAUAAAAAAGGGAUUUUUCAAAUCUCCAAAAAAAAAAAAAAAUCACAAUGAUUCUUAAUUAAAGCUAACGCAGAAACAAACACUGUGCAACAUGGCACUCUCUCUCUCUCUCUCUCUCUGACAUUAGAUUUUUUCAAGUUGCAAAACAAAUACUCAAAUCUUUGUAGAACUAAAUAGAGCUUUUAUUUGACGGACAAAUUUUAAAUUUCAAACAAAAUCAACUUUUGCUUGUCUACAUCGGUUUAUCAUUUUAUAAUUGACCAUAGAUUAUUUUUUCAACUUUUGCUUGCUAUUCAAAUUUGGAUUUUGACGGUGUGGUUUGGAGAAGAUGAAGUUGAUUUUUUUGAAUGAGUCAAACUCAAUUUCACGAUCGUUAAUAGAUUAAUGGAUAGAAUUUGUCCAAUGGACUUCAGCUACAAUCGAAGUGAAAAGUUUAGAAUUAUGACUGCAAAAAUAAAAUGUUUAGGAGUAGUCAGCAAUAAAUUAAAAGGUUUGGAACCUUCUACAAAUUUUCCUAAAAUAUAUGAUGAGAAUGCUAUGGAACAUAGUGGAAAUGCCUAGUGCACCGUAAAAGAUUAAUAAAAACAAUAUUGUCAUUGUAAUCUUUGACCACAUUGAGUAGCUAAAAAACCAGUCAAUUCAAUUCAGGUUCUACCAAAUGAUUGCCAUAAACAAUCGAAUUUUAAGCCCAGCACAAUUGGGUUAACAAUUCACAAUUUGUACCAUCUGGGCUAGAUCGGUAAUUUUUAUAAGGGAAAAAUACAUAUAUAAAGUGUUUAUUAAACACGAUUUCAUUUUUAAGAAAGAAAACUUUAAACAUUCAAAAUUCAGGUCAUAAAUUUUUCUUUUCUCUCCCUUCUUCCCAUCUUUCUAACAUCAGCCUAAAAUUGCCCCCACGGGCAUGAUGCAGUGGUAAAACAGGAGGGUUCUAUAUGGAGUAUCGGAUGUUUAAAUCCCCGCGGUAGUUGGAAGGCAACAUUUACGUUGGAAGACAGUUGUCCUAUGGAGACAAAGUUAUGGUGCACUUUGUCGCCCAUUCGAGGGAUCCUAUCCGUACGUCGUAAAUGGAGAUCUACAGGGAGGAGAACCGUAUCUCGAAUGUUCGACCCAAGUGUGUAAAAGCUGUGACCGCAUUCAAAUUUACUUAGACCAGCACUCCUCAGGAUUAGUUAGGUAGAGUUUGGACACCUGAGUUAUAAAAAAAAAAAAUCAGCCUAAAAUUUACCGCCUCCUUCACCUCUAGCAUACCACAGUCAUCACCACCAUACCACACCAAUGAAUAGAAAAUAUAUUGCCAAUGCAAAUAGAGCAUACAAAUGUAGAUAAUCAAAAAUAGAUCGUGCAAACGCAGAUGUCGCUAUUUCGUGUAGUGGUGCAAAUGCCGUCGUACAAUUUCACCCGUUGUCUUCCACGUAAGAGCUAAAAUGGUCUUCCGUGUAAGCAUUGUUGUAAGUGAAGGAAGAAUGGAGUGAAGAAAAAGGGAGAAUGGAGAUAAUGGUGCCGUUAUCAUGGUCUUCCAAUGUCCUAUAACCCGUUCUCUUUGAACUGUAAGUGGUAUACAUUGAUCUGUCACCUGUGAUAUUAAUCUAACAACCUGUGAUUAAUUAUAUUAGAUUUGUGACCUGUAGACAUUAAUCUGUUACCUACGCAAUAUGACAUGAUACCUAUGACCUGUAAGACAUGAACUUUGACUUGUAACAUAUAAACUUUGACCUGUGAAGUUGAAUCUGUGACCUAUUAUCAGUGCGCAAAGAUACAUGAUAUUUGAUUUGUGACAAAUUAAUAUUGAUCUGUAACUUAUUGACAUUGAUCUAUGAUCUUACAAUAUGACGUUUGACAAGUGAAAUAUGACCCGUGAACUAUAAAAUGUGAUUUGAAAACUUAAAUAAGUAGUUUGUGACCAAUUUUAUUUGAUCUAUAACUUGUGAACAUUGAUUUGAGACUUAUGCACAACGACAUGUGAACUGUGGCAUAUAAUAAGUGCACAUUGAACUUUAAUAAUUGAAUUAUGACUUGCAGCAAGAGACUUGUAAGCUGUGCAAAUGAAUCACAUAUUAUUUAUCGUAUACAAAUAGCAUAUUUUAUAAGUUACAAUUUAUUUAUCGAUCAUAAUUUAUCGGAUAAUUAGUCACUUAACUUUCAUGGGUCAAAAUUUAUCUAUAUUAUUGAUCAUUUAUAAUUUAUUAAUCACAAAUUAACUAUUUUAUUGGUCACAAACUCUCUUUAUAAACCCCAAUCCACUACGUGCACCAAUCGAAAUUGUGCUACAUGAUCGCUGUCAGCACCACCACUGUCAAACUAUAUACAAAUCACACAUUGCAAUCUCACCACCACCGCCACAAAUCACAAACUAUAUACAAGCCACAAACUUCGUUGAUGCUCAACCACAAACCACAAUGUACGAACUACGGACAACCUACAAACCAUCGAUAUUCAACCGAUAGAUUUGACAUCAUCGGUCAAAUAGCCUUAACGCCACACUCAAAGGCGUCGCGCUGCACCUCAGUUGUUCCUUGUGAGGCAAUUGUUGUGCAACAUCAUAUCGUGUGCAGUGGUGUUGUGUAGACGUCGCACUGUGCGCAAUGGUGCUACAAGUGCUUGUGUUACUGAUAUCGUUUGGGUUGUUGGAGAUGCUAUGUUGACGAAAAAAGAGAGAGGAUAGAGAGGAAAGAAGGGAAGUGAUAGAGAGAAAGGGGAAAAUGAUUUAGAAUUUGAGGUGGAUGGGAUGGGCGGGGUAGGGUGAGGUGAGGUGGAUGCGUAGAUUGAUUUAAAUUUAUAAUAUUGUUAUUUAUUAUUAAUAAAUUAAAUUAUUACCGAUUUUUGUACAAAAACUUUUAAAUCUUAUUUUUAAAAUUGAAAGUUAUAAAACAUGGGUGAAUGUAAUUCCCACUUUUUAUAACUAUGAUCCAAAAUAUUGUAAAUCACACCAUAAUAGCCUCUUUCUGUAUUUAUAUACACUGGUGAAUGAUUGAAGCCUUACGAGUGUUAAAUUAUCCAAGAUCACACUUCUCAAAACUAUAUUAGUUAAUGCUCAGUCUGUUUGAAGCCUGUAGAAACUUCACAACAAAAAGUGUAGGUAUGCAACAACAGAAGGUUCAACACAAUAUAGCUUAAUAUUUUGAAUGUUUUAAGGAGAUGAACUAUGUAACAGAAACUCUCUCGUAUCGAUAGACACGGUGAAGUGUAUGUAGUGAGAAGGAUAGCAUUAGAAUUUUGAAUGUUAAUUAUAUAAUCACCCAAGUAUUUUAUGAUUCGAUAAAAAAGAGAAAAGAAAAGAAUCAAAACUUUUUCAAAUCAUAAAUAUUUUUAAAAAAUAUUUAUUUAAUUGUUAAAACAAUCACCGUGAAUUAAGCCCCAGUUUGGCCCUCAUUAAAUUUUAUUUCAUUUUCUGUGUUCUUAUAAAUCACACAUUCCCUUAAUAACAUAAUAUUACACAUAAAUCCAAAAAUUCUAUUUACUUUUUAACCAUGUAUUUUCCAAAAAAGCACUAUUCUAAAAUCAAUUUUUUUUCCCUUCAAAUAAUGAAGCUCAAACAAGGGCUAAUUAUGUCAAAUGCAUCUUUAAAACAAGUGUAAUUAUAUUACCAUCACAAAAUUUAUUAAGCACACCAUAUUAUAUUCACACCACAAUUAAAACAUAGUUUUAAUAAAUACACCACACCAAAUUUACAAUUAUAUACCUAGUUUAAAAAAAAAAAUCUAGAUUUUAAUAAAUACACUACAACAAAAAUUCAUUUUUUUUUCUUCUAGACAAUUCUUUCCACUAUGUACAUUUUAUAUUGGAUGCAUCCAUGCAUCCACACUAAUUUUAUUAAUUAUUUUUUCAAAGAAGGGAAAGGGAAAGGGAAAGAUAAAGAAGAAGAAGAAAACUUGAUUUCUAAAAAAUGGAUCUGAAUAUUUUUGUAAGUGAGCUUGAUUUAAAAUUUCAGAGAGGUCACUAUAAUAUUUUGAAAAUUAUUAAAAGAAGAUGUGCCAAAUUACAAUAUAUUGCUGAAAUGUUUUUUUCCUUUGGUUUGUAUCAUUCAUAACUUUUAGUCAAGAUGAUAUAUCUACUGCUGCUCACUUCAUAGAUAAUGAAUUGAAGUAUGCUGUUUCCGAUAAAGAGUCACGUUUUGUAAGUAUAAGAUCUAACAAAUUGAAAAAAAUAAAAUUAUAAAGAAUGAUUAUACAAAUUGAUGAAUUCUUACGCGUGGUAUUAUGGAACAAGACUAACAAUUAUAGAAAAGAAGCAGAAGCCGAAGAAAUUAGGUUUAGAUCUGUGGUGUAAUUAAUUAAAAGUAUAUUAAUCCUAAUUAUGUAAUUUUGUUUAAGGCUAUUUAAGUAAAUAAGAAAAAAAUAAAAAAUUAUGAUGCACUUAUAAAUUUUGUUGUGGUGCCCUUAAAGCAAAUCUGAGGUGAAAACGGACAAAAGUAACACUUGACGAGAAUGCUCAUCCUCCACAGUCUACAAUCCACGAUCCGGAAUUGUAUCUGCAAGCGGAUAGUGUCCCUCAACAUAAUUUAAGUUAAUCCCCCCACUCGCUCCUGCAAAUUUGCCUCGCAUUCAAACAUGUGUCCAGCGACCAUCUCUUCAGCCGCCAACAUUGACGACGCAGUCACUGGCCAUGAGCCGUCCGCAGUGUUUCGGUUUCCGGCAACUUAUCAUCAGAUGAAUUUGCUGGCGGAUCAAAAUGAAAAUGUCUAUUAAUGUUUCAACCUGGCUAAUCGCAGACCCGUUCGCUCCUAAUUCCUAUGGCGAAUUCAAGGUCCAUUCCUUGAAGCUUUACUCUCUUUAUUUAAUUAAAAUGCUUUGACAUUAUUUUUCUUGAGUUGUUUAUGUUUUAUAUGUUCGAUUAAUUUUACUGGAUAAGUAAUUGAACUUUUCAGUAGAAACUUUAGUGUAUUAUUCUUAGAACUAAUUAUUAAAACUAUCCAUCGCUUGAGCUGAACAGAGAUAAUGAAGCAGCCUUUUGAAUUUUUUGGAAUUAGCAUUUCAAAACUUAUUUUUCGAGUAACUUUCUGGAUUUAUGGUUGUGUUCGGAAUAAGCAAGUGAAAUAUUCUGGCGCAAGGACAAUUUUAUUAAAUUUAUGUACAAAGUAUUCUCGUUUUUCCAGAUUUUCAUAAGAAAUGUUUGUGUGUCUUUUUAUGAACUCAACUCUGAAAGCCACAAUAUCAUGCUGUGCAAUGCGGCCUUAGUGAUAACGGUGUAAAAUUUAAAUGAAGUGAAAUAUGACUGAUGCCAUUUAUUAAACAAUUUUUGAAGUCGCAGAUUUUUGGCUACCAGCAGUUUUAGGAAUGUUGCACGAGUCCUUUUCUCUACCCCCAAGACUUGCUGUUCUGAGAUAAGUUAUAAUCAGACGUCACGUCCAGUUGGGCUAGCUUACAUCCUGUGCAGAUUUUUUUCGCACAUUAAGCUUUCUAAUGGAGGGUUUUCUUCAUGCACUUCAUGUGAAGUUAAGGAGAUCUUACACAAGAGCAGGGGACGCAGAAGAAUCCAUUUCUUCUCUAAGAGCGACGAACUUGCAUACCAUUCUCAAAUUGCCUGGAAAAGGCUUGUUCGAAUAUGUUCCUAUAGCAAGCCAACUGUAGCGCCAAUUAGUAGGAUAGCUUGUGCAGUGACCCUUGCUUUGACCCGCUCGCACCUUGUAGCUCCGGGCAUUUUGGCCUGCGUUAUAGGAGAUUUAGCCUGGAAGCAGAGGGUAUGGGCAGAGGCAGAACACCUCCCAACCAAGGAUACUCUCUACAUGCAUGCACAAGAUAGGCAUGUCUAUCUGACUUCAAUUGUCGUCUCCCUAUUGGAGGGUUUGAUGUUGGUUAUCAGAGCUAUCUACUUGGCAAUUCUGUUUUUACCUUGCAUAGUCAUGGCUCCUUUUGCAGAUUCUCUUGGCACAGAGUUCAGAAAAUCAUGGCUUCGUGCUGUCCGUGUGACAUUAGAAAAGGCUGGUCCAGCAUUUAUCAAAUGGGGUCAGUGGGCAGCUGCGAGGCCUGAUCUGUUCCCAAAUGAUUUGUGCAAUGAACUCGCUGAACUUCACACUAAAGCACCUUCACAUAGCUUUGCCUAUACACAAAGUGCUAUUGAAAAGGCAUUUGGCCGUAAGCUGCCAGAAAUUUUUGAUAAGUUUGAAGAGAAACCUGUGGCAUCUGGUAGCGUUGCUCAGGUUCACAGAGCUACUCUGAAAGUAGGUUAUCCUGGACAGCGGGCUAAGCCUGAGCUUGUUGCUGUAAAAGUUAGACAUCCAGGCGUUGCUGAAGCAAUACGUAGGGAUUUUGUAUUGAUCAAAUUAUUUGCAAACGUUUCAAAUUUCAUCCCUACAUUGAAAUGGUUAAGACUGGAUGAAAGCAUACAACAGUUUGCUGUCUUCAUGAUGUCACAAGUUGAUCUUGCAAGGGAAGCAGCUAAUCUGAGUCGUUUUAUUUACAAUUUCCGUCAUUGGAAGGAUGUCUCAUUCCCAAAACCUCUAUAUCCAUUUGUACAUCCUGCUGUUCUAGUGGAAACUUAUGAGCAUGGUGAAAAUAUUCUUCACUAUGUUGACAAACUUGAAGGGCAUGAACACAUAAAAAGUGCCCUUGCUCAUAUUGGGACUCAUGCACUUUUAAAGAUGCUCUUGGUAUGAUUAUGUAAAUUCGUGGACUUCCAUUACCUUUUUGGUCUGAUUGCAAAUACGCAACAAUGUUAUGCAGCAGAUCCAAAUAAUUAAAAUAAUAUCUGUGAAGCAGUAAAUUUGUUUUCAUUAGAAAGAUACAUAGAUUUGGAUAGGUGAUAUAUAUAUAACUUAAAGAGGGAAGCUCCAGUCUGUCCGUGAAAGGAUACAGUUGUGCAGGAAUCUCAUAGCAACCUAUUACAUUUUUUUCUUCAGCAUAUGAAAAUUGGGUUUGCCUUAGUGCAUUGGAUAUCUUAAUAUGUUUUAUGUAUAUCAACUUUUUUCUUUUUGAAACCUUAUUUACACCAAUACUGCAUGCAUUAGAGAUGAUCUGAUUCUUUUCAGGUGCUAAGCAAGAUUAAGGAUAAGCACCACUUUAUUAUUUGUUAUCAUAUCCUUUUAAACGUGUCGAAUACGGGCAAUUGUCAUGUCAUGGCCUUAACUCAAGUGCUUUGUGAAAAUUUUCUUCCUCAUGAUUUCAACAUAUCCCAUCCAGUAUUGAUUUUCUCAUAUUUAAUUUUCUUGCCAGGUUGGGUAGUUGGGGAGCAUUCUUUCUUAUUUAGCUCGUGAUAUUGGUUAUGUCAUAAGAUGAUCUCAUGAUAUUUCUCAACUUUUCACACUUCCAGGUGGACAAUUUCCUCCAUGCAGACAUGCAUCCAGGAAACAUUCUUGUUAGAGUAUCUCAGGGCAAAACUUCAGCAAAACCAUUGUUUAAGUCCAGGCCUCAUGUAAUUUUCCUUGAUGUAGGAAUGACUGCUGAACUUUCUAAGAAGGAUCGAAACAAUGUACUGGAGUUCUUUAAGGCAGUGGCACUUCAAGAUGGUCGCAAUGCUGCAGAGUACACUCUUCGAUUAUCUAACAAACAGAACUGCCCAUAUCCACAGGCAUUCAUUGAGGUAUUUUUGCUGUCUUACUGCUGCUUUCUUGUCAUUUAAUAAAAACUUCACAGUAAGUGUCUGAUAAGAACCUGAUUUGAAGAGGCUGAAUUGCUUACUGAAAGAAUGAAAACUGUAUAUCAAACUGCUAUUUUAUUGCAUUAAACAUGAAAAUAGACACAAAACAAUUCCAAGGCUUUCGAGAGGUCUGGUCUCUCCCUAAAUUUUCCCAAUAUUUCCCGAAUGCCUAUCUCAGCUCCCUCCCAUUACAUUUAUAGAGAAUUUACUAGUUUUCUAUUAUAAUUUUACCCUUUGCUAACUAACUAUGGAAUACUCUAGUGAAUGAAUAACAAACUUGUAUUGGAAUAUUAUUAGAGGUGGAGGUUUAUCAUUACCCGCCGCCCCAAAAACCACCCUGUCCUUAAGUUGGAAGUCUGGGAAAAUUACCAAUUUCAGAUAACAAUAUAGCCGAACAAUUUCCUACGCAAUACUUGAGAAGCAUUUUGUUCUUCAGUUUUGCUUGAUAUGAGGCAUCCUUGUUGAAUUUACUUCCUUUCACCCACUCGAGCACUUUUUGUAUGAGAAGGAACAUGUCUAGUCCGAAUAUAUUUCUCAAUCGGGCGAUAGUCCUCACUAUCAUGUGGGAGAGGUGAAACAUGGCAAAUUUGCUUCUUGUACUUCUCAUCGAUUGAUUCGUCAUUAUCAAUGUCAAUACCAACUACUCAUGAAGCUAUUUCAAUGUCCUCAGGUUCUUCUAGCAUUUGCACCUUCAAAAAGUCUUCCCCAUCUUUAAUCACUUGCAGAUAGAUAGAAGGUAUAACUGUGAAAAAUCUGUUGUUUAGCAUCAACAAGACUCUCUUUGACAGAUGGAGCAUGAGUUGUGCUAUUUAGCCAAUUAUGUAUUUGUGUUAAAGCCUCAAAACUUAAUCGACCACCUACAAUUAGAAUGGUAUACAUGAAAAUCCCAUAACCAGUUGCGCCCGUGCACAAAAUUUGGAAGUUGUGAGCCCUUCUAUUCGAAUUUAUUUUGUGUUUAACCCCAUGCUUGAUUAUCACCACAAACUCCUGUUGCGUUAUUUUCCCUUCUAUUCCAUGGUCAUCGGUGCAAUCAAGCUUGCUACCGUAUUUGGAAAAGGAUCCACAAAUUCUCCCAUCCCAUCACUUCUUGGCUUGCCUCCCUAACCUUCAUCGACAUCUAAAUCGCAGCCAACAGUUUCUUUAUUGAUGAUUAAAACCUGCAACUCCUUGUGCUUACUUUGAUGCCAAAUAGAGUAGUUUUCUUUGCCCCCUAAAAACAGGCCCAACUCGUACUUCAAUUGAAGAUCCACAUCAAUUCGCCUUUUGUAAGAAAUUGGGGAUCUAUAGGGUACAAUUUAUUGUGGAGCAGAAUUAGUGAUUUGAGAAAUUGAUUUCUUAAUUUGAAGAGGAAGGUGGAUGGCGUAAUUAGAAUAUCUUGGGCUUUUAUUCCAAUUUAGGCCAAACCCUACCUGGGCUUGAUUCAUCCACUCAUUUCUUUCUUCAAGAUGUUGGGCCAUGUCCUUAAUAUGGUCCAAGCCCACUGGUUUCAGCAAUUGGUCUUUAGCCCUAUUUUCCUAAUUCAGUUUGUUGAUAACGUUGGCUUGUUUUGAUCCAUCCCCAAUACAAUCUCUCAACGGCAAUGGAAGAUUCGAAAAUCGGCGAUCAUGCUUCUUCUCCUCCUUCGGCGAUGGAGAUGGGGAUACUUGCAAUCUCUCAAGAGACGUUGAUAAAGGGGCGACCCAGCUGCCGGCAUCACAGGGGUUAUCAGAGGCUAUAGUAGCUCCAAUUUCCUUAGAUUUGGGUGGAGUUUCAUAAUAUAGAGCCUCUCCUUCGACACAAACUGCAACGACCUUGAUCUUCCUCCAAUUCGAAAACUGGUUUAAGUUAAAUUUCCUCUGUACUUGAGAAAACCAGCUGUCGGGACUGACACCAUUGGAAAUAGGUAUAUCCUGCCAUUUGCCUCUUCCCUCCACCCUCCAUGAUUCAUUACGACAAUUAUCAUCUCUGUUGUCAUCAGAUUUGUUUGGGAUUUCAGAAUUGGAAGUGUGGUCAUUGCUGCCUUCUUCCACCGGUUGGGUCAAUUCCAAAUCCAAGCCCAUAGAUUCUUUUAUCUGAAAUUCAACCAUCAAUUAAAGCCCAUUCUCUUCCCCUUUCUUUUCCAUGGUAUUCUCCUCUAGCAAUAGUCAUUGUUCAUACACUUCCGUCGAAGAAGCUAGGGCUUCCAACAUCUCUCCAGUCCUCACGUCCCACUGUUUGCUCGCCAGAGUUUCAUGAACCAUGGAGAUCUCCUUCGUGCGAUGGAAUUUCUUCUCCAUCGAUGAUGGCGAUGCAGACACGUGUAAUUUAUGGCUUUGUUCUUCCCGUGCUGUCUCCCAGCUCAAGUCAUCCCCCUGCUUCCCGUCUAAGUACUUACGAUCGGAGGUCUGCUUCAUGUGGAAUCGAUCCAACAUCAAUGCCUUCAAUUCUUCCCAAGUAUGUAUCUCUUGAAACCAUGCUCAAGCCUCUCCAAGGAAGCAAGUGACCGCGGCUUCUACCUUCUCCCUCUCCGGUAAGCCACGAUUCAUAUUUAGGCAUCGCUUCGCCUCAAACAGCCACGAUUCUAAAUUAUCCCCAUAUAAUAUCGAUGUGUUGAGUUGGCCGCAUGAAUCCAACCUCGAUCAACGGCUCAAUCUCCUUUCUGUUGCAUUACCAUCUUCUCCAACGUACUCCUUAUCAAGUUCAAACUAUCAUUUAAUUCUCUGCUGAGAAUCGUUUCCAUUAGUCCGAGAAUCGAUUGCUUUGAUAGCAAAUUGAUAAGAACUUGAUUUGAAGAGGUUGAAUUGCUUACUGAAAGAAUGAAUAUUGUGUAUUAAACUGCUAUUUUAUUGCAUUAAACGUGAAAAUAGACACAGAACAAUUCCAAGGCUUUCGAGAGGCCUGGUCUCUCCCCAAAUUUUCCCAAUAUUUCCCGAAUGCCUAUCCCAGCUCCCUGCAUUACAUUUAUAGAGAAUUUACUAGUUUUCUAUUACAAUUUUACCCUUUGCUAACUAACUAUAGAAUACUCUAGAAUAGUGAAUGAAUAACAAACUUGUAUUGGAAUAUUAUUAGAGGUGGAGGUCUAUCAGUGUCAGGCCAAGAAGUUCUUUACAUUUGUCAUUCCCUAAUCCAUCAGCUACAGUACGUCUAUGUGCCAAUAUUAUAUACACUUAUAAGCAGAUGUGUGGCAUAGGGUUCUAUCUUGAGAAUGUACAGAUUGAUUAUCCUUUUCAAAGACUGGCUGGAUACGUUAACACGUACUGCACUAUAGAAGGGAAAAAAUGAAAUUUUACAUAACAUUAUUGGAGUAUCCAGUUUGACUCUGAGCUUUGUCAUUUUACUUCAAACUUGUGAAGAGUAUGUAGCAUAUUUCUUUAUAUUAUCGACUUCCUUGCAUGAGGCUUUGGAAAGAACACUUUUUUAGUUUUGAUUUAGAAUAUUUUAAUGGAAUAGCCUUACAUGUGAAUUUUAUUUCAACUUUAUGGCUGUCAAACUCACAUCAAGUCUAGUAAAGUGAGUUUGUACUGUUUCAUUGAGACUAUUAUUAUGCAAAUACAGAGGUGACACACCUAUUGAAUGUGCAAUACUCACACUUGUUACAUACAGCUCCCAUGAACUUGUUUUAGCUCAUGAGUUGGGUUCAUGUCUGGCGGCAUAUUCAGGGGUUGGUAGAAUUUGAUCUCCUAGACAAAAGAGACACCUUUAAAAAAUUGCAUUUACUUGAGCAUGUUCAUCAUAAUUAUUUAACAUGUAUUACAUGUGUGUAAGUUGUGUUCUGUUGGUGAAUGUUCAGAAAGUGAUCCACCAUAGAAGUUUACUUCUGCUUUGAUUAAUUCAAUCUCUGAGAAAAAAUGUUUACUACUUGGAUAGGAAGUGGAGAAAGAUUUCAAGUCGUGGCGUUCAGCUGAAGGCGAUUUUCAACCGGCUGAUUGCAUGCAACAAUUGCUUGAGCAAGUUAGACGGCACAGAGUUAACAUUGAUGGCAAUAUUUGUACUGUGAUUGUAACUACUAUGGUUUUGGAGGUAAUUUCUGCCUUAUAUUGAUGCUGGAUCUUAAACCCCGGAAUCAAGAAAUUUCAUCUCAAUUUGACUUUGUCUUGCGUCUUAUAUACAAUAGGUUUUGUGAACAAUUUCAAGCUAGAAUGCUAUAGACACAUUCUUUGCGUCUCCAAUUGUUUUGCAAACAAGCAUUCAAACCUAAGCUCUUGCUUGUUUUGAUUCCACACUGUAGGAACAGGACAGAGCUAGAUUGCCAGUCUUUUCAUUUGCUGCAAAACAUUAAAACUGAAACUAGUUCCCGUUGUGUUAAGAUCAUGAUGGAAACACUGAAUCAUAUAAUUGGUAUUAUCGUCCUACACUCGAAAAGCAGGAGCUGAAACAAAACAUAUAUUAUUCUGAAAUAAUCCCAUGUUUACCUUUUGACUAACAAAAUAUUGAAGUUUGACCUUUAAAUGCAGCAUCAGCUUCAUUUAUCAACAAAUUGUAUGUAUAAAACAAUGGCAGAACGGAUUAUGGUUCUCUAAGCAAUAAUGGAACAGAAAUUACUCUUAGUUUCAGUGGAAUUUCAUUUCUUUUAUUUUGAACUUUUUCUCCUAUGCUAUCAAGUUUCCCUUUUUCAUUUUCUAUUUCUUGACUUUCUUCUGUCAGAACAUUUUCUAUAAGAUUGAAUUCUUAAGAUAUUAAAAAUAAUUUUGAUAGGUGUCACCUGCUGAGUGGAGGAGCUCUGAACAUUGCUUAAUUACAGUAUACAAGUUGGGUCAAUAAAUCUGCUUCAAGUUUAGAAAUUACAAUUGUGACAUUUGAGUUCUAAAUUGUUAAAUGAAGUUGCUUAUCUGUCAUGUGUCGUGAACUAGUCCAAAUGUUUGAGGCUAAAGGGUGAUGAAGAGUGAAGAGGACUUUGGACCUGAUAAGAUGGAUAAUCAUUUUAACAUUUUCUUAUUUCUGAGAAACAGAUAAAUGAGGUAUUUGAUAGCGUUGUGCAUUUUUACGUCCUUAUCAUUCUUAUUCUGCUGUAGGGGUGGCAGCAUAAGCUUGAUCCGGAGUAUGAUGUACUGAAGACCCUGCAAACAUUGCUUUUCAAAGUUGACCUGGAAGAGUCUCUCGUCUAUACAAUUGAAGGACUGAUGGCCCCAUAAAGGUUUCUCCAUUUUCUUCAUUUCUGAAAGCAAUUUUGUUAAAAUAAUGCUUAGAGAGAAAAUGAGAUAUUUGAAAAUUGCUGUCCCAACAAGUAGAGAACAAUAUAUCCAUUGUGGGAGGAAAGAAAUAAAAAUCAGUUUUCAAUACUUUUGCUGUUACUGUGAUAUACUUCUCAUUGAAAUUUUAUUAAUGCUUUUUCUGUUCAACAAUUUCAAUCAAAGAGGAAAGAGGAGAGAGAAUUUUUUGGUUUUAGUUUCUCUUAUACUUUCUACUCGAGGUUAAUUUAGUCUUUUUAGCACUUUGUGUCCUGCUUUUAACCUAGAGGGAAAAAUUAAUGGGUUCAAGUCCCUUGCACCUUUCACCUCGGCCAAGCAUGGCUGUGUAUCUUUCUAUACAGAUCUCUACCAUUUUUGAAGUCCUGGUAUUUUGUUUGAAAAUCAUCUUGUGCGGUUUGAAUUCAUGAACGUGUUAGUUUUUCAUUGCUAUUCGUUUAUACUUGUAUUGCUCUAGUUAAAUCAGCAGACCAACAAUUAAACUAUAUAUGCACAAUUCUUGUACUUGUGACCCUUGCAGCUGGAUAUAGGAGCUAUUCAUAAAAAAAAACUUACUCUGAUUUCUCUCUACUAAUCGAGGUUUUCCUCAGGCGCUUUUUGGAGAUAAAUACAGAGGUUUAGGAAUCCGGGAGUUUGGAUUUUCUUUCCAUUUUUUCUCGUAAUUUCAAUAGAGAGAGAGAGAGAGAUAAAUAGCAAAAAAAAAAAAAAAAAAAAAAAAGAAAGAAAGAAAGAGAGAAUCCAAUCCUUUAUCAUGCAUCUCCAAGACAGUACUCCCAAUGGAGAUAUUGGGUUUGGAUAAAAUGCAAACGAGCGGUGUGCUAGACACUUGUUAGGUAAGAGUGUGCCUUCAGAAAAAAAAAAAAAAGACGGGUUGAUUGCUUUGAAGAUCUUAAAACAUUAUUGAGUGCAGCGUAGAUAAAAUCACAUUUGUUGAAAACAGAUAUCAUCAACGCUGCACUCAAUGACAUUUUUAGGCUCUCCAAUCUCAUCCUUCCUUAACUUGCUCAUCAUUGCUUGGAUCCGAUCAAAUCCAAUCCCGUGUCUCCUCGAUGUUUAUAUAUAGUACUAUGAGCUAAUCAAGUACAUGCGUUGAAUUGUAUGACAUUGUACUACCAUGUUUUACUGCUAGCGUUUCUCAUUGUACUAAAAACUCUGUACUACGUUCCUAUCCGUACUGCUCCACUGUCAUCUAAAACCGUCCACCAUCCCUAAAGAAAAGGAUAUUCAGACACCACAUCCAAGGGCCAAAGCCCAAAGCCAUCUUCUUCGAAUCCAACAACUCCCUAGCACUAUUUACGCUUGAUUGAAGGGGCAGAUGGAUGAAAAGAAGUCAAUUUAAAGUACUAAUUUGUUAUUUGAACGGAUAUUUUAUGAAUUAUUCUUUUUUGCCAGAAGUUUUUACACCUUGGUGACAGAAGUUGUGGUAAAAAAUGAUUGGAUGGUAAUGUUGACUAUUUUUUAAACAGUCCAAUGAUGUAAUACUAUGUGACAUUAUAUCAUUCAAGGUGGUAAAAAAUUCUGGCAAUGUGACGAGAUUGAUGUUUUAUUGAUUGUAGAUACAUCCUUAUUUAAUGCUAGAAGAGAAAUAGUGUCCAUCAGGGAGGUUUGCUUGGGUUAGUUAAGAUGCGUAAGCACGCGCAGUCUUCGAGCCAAAACACAUGCUUAUUUAAGAAAUUCAUUGAGUGUUGGGUUCGGCUUGUUAGCUGUCCAUGAUUUUCUUUUAUCGAGCCAACUUUUCCUAGAAAAAUCGCUCAUGCUGUAAUACCGUGUGAUAUAUUUAUGAAGAUCAAGAUGCACUUGUGCAUAGUUUUCGGAUAAUUAGCUAUUGAACUCUUGUUUUUAGAAUACCAUGUUUAUUUUGAUCAUCUCUUCAAACGAGGCAUAACGAUCAGUGGUAAGAAAAUAAUAACAUGGUCAGUGUGAACGUUUAUACCAUUUCUCUUGAACUGUAUUCCUGUAUUAAAUGGAAAUGUGAAAAACAAAACUUAUUCGACAAUAGUGGAAAUUACACCACACAACUCAUUUUAAUAAAAUAUUCAUAUAUUACCUUUCAAUGUUUUUAAUCACAUUAUUACUGCAAUUUUAAAGGAAAAUGAUAUCUUAAGCAUCUUAUGCCACCAAACAAUCCCCUAAUAAUUUCAACCCACAAUCAUUUCCAUAAAAAAAAAAUCCAAUACACCCCCACCCCCACCCGCCACUGAUUCAUCUUCUAUAAUUCAUACACCAAGGUUAUGAAUUCCAUCAUUCUAAAUCGUCUUCUUUAUAUCUGAAGAUUUCUCAAUUCAUAUUAUUCACAUAUAUUUUCCCAGAGUAGUAUUUGAAAAACCUAUUAUAAGUAUAUGAAAAGCUCUCAAAUGAUACCUCAACAAGGUUCAUGAUUUUAAACGUGUGUGUGGGAGCAAUUGUCAAAAAUCCACAAGUGAUUUUCCUGUCAAAUCAUCCUGAAAUCCUUGAGUAUGGUGCAUUUAUUACUCAAAUAUAUUCUCAUAUUUGCCCUCAAAUUGAUUUUGGUAGGUGAGUUGUUGGUUGUAUGUAAUGGAAGGGCAAUUUUGCAAAAGUAGAGCAUUAUGUGGUCUGUCAAUGUCAGGAGAAUCUAUAGGCUUUGAAAUAAAAAAAUGGCUAACAGUCAAAUUUGUAAUUAGAAGUUGCUUAAAAUUGUUUCCAGACAUACACUAAUUUUUGACUUUUAACGUAAUCGCAUUAUGCAUGUAUUCUCUCAUAUUAUCUUCUUCUGAAAUUUCUCCAUUAAUGAGGGGGCAAGGAGGGGCAAAAAUGUAGACCAAGCCUAGAAGUUAAAAGAACAAUGAAAGCAAUAGUUCACCUUUUUGCCGUUGCAUUUUCCAAGAUUUUGUGAUGUCUAACAGUAGGCAAACUCUUUGUUUUUACGUUAUUGUAUUUUGUUUGAGUAGUUGGAAAAUAUUUGGAUGUAUUUUGUUUUGUUUAGAUUCUGAUUACUUAGAAAAGGUGGUGGUAUUAGGAACACAUCAUUUUGAAUGUCUAUUAUGUUUUUAUAUGGUGGUAUUAUAAACACGUCAUUAGAAAUGUUAACUUCUUAUCUCCCUAUCUUGCUAAUCUAUUUUAUUUUGAUUACUUCUUAAUAGUGUAAGUUCAUAAGUAUCACUUUUCGCUGUGGACAUAUUUUCCAAAUUCAUACUUGUAAGCGUUCACGUUUGAAUCACUUAUAGACCAGAUAUCUACAUACAACAUUUGAUUUCGAUCACAUAAUCCUUUUGUUCCAUUUGAAGCACAUUUAACAAUGCAACAUGCAAAUCCACGGGCAGUGUAAUAAUCUACAUUUCUUCUGUAAGAUGUUCACCAACCAGAUGCUUCCUCAAAUCAAGAAUAGAUUGUCAUUCAUCAAGUUCCUUUAAACAACAACAUCACACAUACUCCUGAUGUUGACCACAUAUAAACACUUCUACCAUCUUUCUUGUAUACUUAGAAAAGUAAUAUUCCUUCCAACAUUUUCAAAUCUGUGACAAUAAAGAACGUAUGUGGAAAUGCAAAUUACAUUAUUCACAAGUAUUUAAUAUUAUGGAAGCAGAGGUGUUCACGAAGCUAAAAUUGAAUUAUCUCAAAGCUCGAAAUAAUUAACUUGUUCUUGGCAAAAAAGAAUUUUGUACUGAAAGUAGAUUCACCCACAAAUCGGAUGUACAAACUGAGGAUGGGAUAUAUACGAAUAUCCCACAUACUAGAAUGAAUUUCUGAAGUAAUUUUUCUAAAUAGCUAAUAGAAUUUGGUAAGAAAAUCUCGAAAUUUGAAUAUGCAUAGCCUCAACCGACGUAAUUAAUGUCCUCCGUAAUUUUUGUCAUUGCAUAUUUCAGUUACAACUCCAAAUAACAAAAUUUUCACUUUAUGUUCUUUUGGUGUUUUUAUUGGGGUUAUGUAAUAGAAUAAUGCUACUUUGUCAGAAGUACUGCAAAAAUCCUAAGUGGCGUGAUCACUGUUUAAAAAACAGUCCAAUGACAAAGUGUCAUGUAACAUUAUGUCAACUAUUGUGUCAAAUAUUGUGGCACUGUAGCGUGAUUGUAUGUAAUAUUUUUAGUAUAUAAAUAAGUAUUCUGGCAUAAAAUGAAUUUUUUUUUUAAUAUAUUUCAAAGGUGCAUAUGAUUUUUUUUCCCUCUACAAUGGAAAUAAUUCAAGCCCACCAUGGAGCAUCUCCUGUCCUGAAAUUAGUUUCAACCCAUGGAACAAACACAACUUUCCCAUCAUCAACAUCUGCAUGUGCCAGAGACAAGGACUGUUCCAAUAGUAGAGCAGUAAGCGGAUAUAUAUUUGUUAGCUCACAACAUAUUUAAAAGAGAAAAACAAUAGCAUGCGAGGAGGGAUUUUUAUCGAGUAGAAUUUGGCCUCACCAAAGGAGCAGGUCCUCUAACGACCCUGCCUUGAUUGUUGUACUGAGAGCCCUGGCAUGGACAAAUGAACUUGUUUUCUGCAGCAUUCCAUGACACGUGCACACAUACCACAGGUUGCCAAUGUUCUGUCAUUUUCGACAACCAGGUAGGUCGGAUCUCCCUGUUUUUCACAUCAGACAUCUCUUAGAAAUCAACAGGACAUAUAUGGUUCACACACGAUGAUAUGAAAUGAGAAACGAGUACCUUCAAGCCUUGAGUAAGGGUUCUGUCACCAGGUCCAUGGUUUUUUAGCCACAUUGACGCUGAUGCUAUUACAUCAUUCCCAAGGGCAUCCUUAGCCACUUGACCACCUCCAGCACCUCCUGACCUGUUGAAUCAAUAUCUUUUAGCUUUCCUUCAUUUACUAACCCAGAAAUAAAACAUGAUACUAACCCCAAAUGACACGACCCGUCCCAAAUCACCUUAAUGGAUCCAACAUGUGUCGUGCGCAAAUGGUAGAUACCAGCUAAGUGCCGGACCUGCAACCAAGGUAACCUUAACUUGUUUGACUGUGAUGAAAUUUUAAAGAAUUUUGACAGAGUCUCCUCUAAAAUAUGGACUAAAAUCACCUGAUCCAUAAUCAAUUUCCUCAAAUCAAUAAAUGUAAUAUAAAACAAGUACAUCAGUCCCUCAAAUCCAAACUAUUCAAAAUAAAUUAUUAACAAUUCGAUAUUUACUUGCUUUACUACCAACAAUCCUCAAAUCUACUAAAUAUAACAUAUAGUGAUCUCAUGACAACCCUUUCUAACAUAAACUACAUGUAACCCAAGAAAUAAGUACUACAUAAUCUGAUAAAGUAGGCCAUGGAACCAAUGACGUGUGGCUCAUUUCAAUGAACUGACAGAUUCCAAUACUGCUCAACUCGGCUGCUAUCUGAUAAAGAAAAAGAUGAAAAGAAAUAUGAGCUUACAGCUCAAUGAGUGGAUAAUUUGCAAAUAAGCAUACUUUUUCUUUUAUGCAUAUUUUCUGAAAAAUUCUAAUUCUAUUAAAACUUUGAAAAAUUCUUAAAUCUGGUAACACUUUUAAAACUAAACUUGAUUAUAUUAUAAAAUUUUUUGUUCAUAAUUCUGGAUAAGCAACUAUAAAGUAUAAUGACAUAAAUAAUCUGAUAUCGAUGAAAAUCUAUGAAAUAUUGCUGUUGCUCAAUAUUAUAAGCUAAAAGCUUUAUUUUGAAAACUAAAUUAACUGAAUUCUAUAAUCUGAAAUCUGAUAAGCUAUAGAAAUACUGAAAAAUCACACCAAAAAGGUAACUAAUGAAUAGCCUUACUCAUGUACAGGGUAAUCUUGAUGUACAAGACAAAGCCAUUCAAAUAAGCUAAUCUGGUAAUCUAGUCAUACGUACGCAGAGCUGCCCUAAAGGUUAAUCACACUAGUACAAGGCCCAAAGCCUAUGUGUAUACGAGAGUGAGUCCCAAAGACAUUUAAUAAUGUAGUCAUACACUAUAGAAACACAUUCACAAUAGUGCAGAUCGGUUAAAAUCACCAUAACUAGUCAUACACUGUGGAAACACAUUCACACCAGUGCAGACUGGGGUAAAAUCACUUGGAUACUUUCUGGUAAUUUUAAAAAUAAUUUUAAAUAUACUGAAAUAUUUAUAUUCAUAUAACAUGCUAAUCAAAUGAUUUCACUGAAUUGAAUUUAACUUUAAAAAGAAAUUAUGGAAUCCAUUUUAUUUCCUAAAAAUCAUGCUAUCAAAUUAACUGUAUGAAAUAAUAAAUUUUAUAAUAUAAUAUAUAUUUAAUAGAUACUAAUUUUUGAAAAAUGAGUUUAUAUACACCCACAAGUCAAGCUAUAGACUAUGAAGGUCGAUAAGCUUUUCCAAUUUCCUCGUCACCACCUCAAAUAUGAUACCAAAUAAUUAAUAACCCAUGUAACAACUACCAUACCACAUAUUCUUAACAUUUAACUAUGAAAUAUUAGAACUUGAUUUUUCGAAACUUGAAUAUAAUCUUUAAUCUCGCUCACAAUUGGAACGAAUUCUACCUUCUAGUCCAUUCACUAAUCUUUAAUUUAUCAUAAUUACCUUCAUCCCAAACAUAAAAACAAUUCUUUCUUCUAAUCUAGUGAAACUUGAAUUCUCACAUGCACUAAUCUAAUUUACAUCUUAUUCCAUAAAUUCAUUCCAUAAAGUUAAUAUUUCAUCAUCAAAAUCAUUUCCCCUAAUUAUUCUUAUUCAAAAACUCAAUUAAAAACUCUAGGUUUGCCAAAAAUAGUAUAACUUACCUUGAUGCAAAAAUCUUUCACAAAACAAAAAGAUUAGCUUGAAAUCAUGCUCUUACCUUCAAUCUGAAAAUUAACCCAAACAAUUCCUUAGAACCCUAGAAAAUCAACCAUAACUAUUUCAUAAAAUUUUAAUCUUUACCUUUUGAAGAAUUAAAGAUAUAAAGCUUCAAGUAGUUGACACCAAAUUUCUUCCUUCUUUUUCCUUUUCCUUUUACUUUUCCUUUUCCUUUUUCUUUUCCUUUUCCUUGGUUUUUUCUCCUCUUCUUUCCCAGCUUCACUGCCCGAUUUUUCUACUGUGUGUGAGUGUGUGUAAUAAUUUGAAAAAUGAGAUAUUAGUUAAAUACUUGCCACAUGUAAUCCAUUAUACCAACUUUGCAAAUAAAGCCC